AACGAAGGCAUAGCAUGUGUGAAUGCAGACUGUCUAAGGUUUGUUUUUGCGGAUUGCUGACUAUAUACCAUUUUUAUUUCGUUUUCAACCAUAUGGCAAAAGAAGCCCAUAGUAGCAUUUGGCAGCGAGAAUUACAACCACGAUCUGGUCACAAUCAAGGUCAUGGCAUUAUCAAGCAGUCUCCUAAAGAGCAGAGGUGUAAAUCACAUGGCCGGGCAUAAAUAAACAAAGAGAUCCAAUACUUUUUCUAGAUUUAACAAUGCUAGUACAAGAACAGAGCACUCGCGUGUACAUCUUGUCAUCUUAUACAAGAGUACUGAUUUUUGAAUAUAUACUGCAUGUUUCCGUGUCAUCCGGUCCACUAGCACAAAGAAAACCGCACAAGGAACACAUUCAGCGAUAAAAAAAGCAACAACCCAAAAGACAGCAUUAUUCAGAUUCUCGUCACCUACUGUGCGGUGCAAGUGAUCUGAUCCUGUGAUCCAGGACCCAAAACGUAUCAUUUUCAAUCCUUAAUCAACUAGUAGAUAUGAUCAUGAUGCAUUGUUAUCUUGCUACCAUAUCAAAGCUAAAGUGUUCGUUUAAAUUGUCCUAUCAGCACAAUGUUUGUUGCUUCUCGAGAUCAACUUCCUUGAAAUAAUUGGCAGAAAAAGACAUGAUGCCAUUGUUAUCGGUCAUCAUGUUUGCCUCCAUUUGCACUAUCAAUCAAAAGAGAUGGGGAAAACAAAUGGUUGCCUUUUGUUCCUUCUAAGUGAAGGAAACUAUCUCAGUUCUGAAGACAAAAGCAACAGGCCAACAAUACCAAACACAAGUGCUACUAAUUUCUGCCUUGCAAGAAUGAACAGCAGAUGGAUGGAAAAUAACGAUUUAACGCUCACAAUUUGCAAUGAAGACAUGACGAGCACAGAUAAUCGAUUCACAACUUGAGAGCUUUAUUUGGUUCUGGCUUAUUCUAGAUUACAACAUUUGGCACAAAUGAUGGGAUGUAACUAAUUUCAGAAAUAAAUUGAUAAAUGAGAAAUAACAUGGGAUGCGAUAGCAUGCUGUAACCAACAAUAGAUACAAGACAAUAAAAGCAUCAAGGAACAACCUUGGAAGCCUUCAUCUUAUCGAUCCAAGCAUUGAAGGAGUUGAUGGUGUUACGGAAGCCGAGGAACCCAUGCUCCUUGCUCUUGUUCAUGUUGUCCAAAUGCUCAAUGUCGAUACUGAGCAUGGCAUCGACAAACCACCAACUGGUGAUCUCCUCGAGCUCCGUGGUGACAAGCUCGUUCUCCUGGAUGAUCUCCGUCCACACCGCCUCCUUCCCAGCCAUGGCAUCCGCGAGCGCAAACCGGCUGUCCUCUCCCUCAUACCCUGCCCACUCCACCCCGAAGCGGUCGGCCAGCAGCGGCCAGAGUUGCUUCCACUUGAACACAUCCCCAUUGCUGCAAUUGAAAGCCUCGUUCUUGGCAAACGGGUCGACGGCCGCCCAGAUCUCAUGCUCAGCGACAAGGUCGGCGUCGGAGGCGUCGGUGAAGCCCUCCCAGGCGACCUUGCAGCCGGGCCACCGCAGCGUGGCGCCCUCCUUGCGGCAGAUGGCGGCGUAUACGCACAGGCUGCCGACCACGUUCAUGGCGCUGCGGGGGGAGAAGCCGAAGAUGACGGUGGGGCGGUGCACGGACCAGGUGACGGCGCCGUCGCGGCCGGAGACGUGGUCGAAGAGGACGUCCUCCAGGUCGUAGUAGAAGUUGGGGUGAUCCAACCGGGGCAUGUCCUCGGUGUACGGCGGGUCGGGGGCCGGGAUCUUGCCGAUGACAUCAAACGGGCCGACGUAGUGCUUGCGGCCGGUCUGGAGGCAGACGUGGGCGAGCGCGGGGCAGCCGGGCACAACCACGGAGAGCACGUUGCGGAGCAUGCCGGCGUUGACCUCCCGGUUGCGGUCCUCGGUCUCGUGGCUGGACCACGCGGCGUAGAAGACGUGGGUGACGUCGGUGAGCGGCGUCAGGGCGUCCCUGACGGCGGCCGGGUCGGCGAGGUCGAGCUGGAGGUGCGUGACGGCCGGGGACGGCGGCGGGGUGGACCAGCCCGGCGGCGCGCGGCGGGAGACGGCGUACACCUUCCAGGGCCCGCCCGGGGUGUCGUCCCGCGGGAGGAUGUCGAGGAGGGAGGUGCCGACGAUCCCCGUGGAGCCGAGGAUGAGCGCCACGCUCUGGAAGGUGGGCUCGGCCGCCGCCGCCCGCUCGUCCUGCCGCUUCUUGACCGCGCCCACCGCGCCCGCCCACCACCAGCUCAUCGCGGCUUAGGGAUUGGCCGCGGGCAGCUUGGUCGGAGGCCGGAGGUGGAGGGAGGGGAGGGGAGCGCCGGCUGGAUCUGGGGAUAAUGGGGGGAGAGUGGCUUCCGUGUGUGUGUGCGCGCGUUGCGUGGCGAUCUGGGUGGAUGUGUGGGGUAUGCGCUGUCGUUUGUCAUUUUUGUUGGCUCAGAAUCAGAUCCACGUGUUCGUGUCGAGGAGCGCUGGACGGUGGGGAACGAUCGGCAAGGAGAUCGUUGUCGACCGUCGUGGCCCGGUGGUGACAUUGACGGUCCAGGAGCCGCGCAGCGUCUUCGUCUUGUCUGUAGACCUACCCUACACCGGCCGUUGUGCGGUCCCGUCUCUUCUUUCUCCGUUGCAUCUCUCUCACUAACACGUUCCCCACAAAAUAUAUAAUCCAAUUGACAAGUGUGACACCAAGUAACACGUGUUUUUACAACUAAAUUGCCAUAAAAGAAAGUUGUGUAAAGUUGCACACUCCCUGCAACUUCCUCCAUAACAUGCUGCGCAUUCCCUGCAACAUUUCAUUUACAUAUUUUAGUUUAUACUAGUAAAUAAUUCCUGCAUUCACAUAGUUAUUUUAUUCGACAACAUAUUUACGUUAGGUACAUGAGCCUUUAUACUCCCUCCAUUCCACAAUGUAGUGCUUCCUCUAUCCACGUGCUUCAACUUUGACCGUAAAUUUUAACUAUCAAGACUGAUUGCGGCGGGACAAUAAUUAUAUCAAUGAAUUCGUAUUUGGCCAAAUGUUCGCUCCACUACAUUUCUAGCACGAGAAUGAUGCAAGUUAUGUAACUCUUUGGAAGUUUUAGGUUAUUUUGCAUUUGCAGCCCACUUUUUUAGAUGAUACCGUGUGAAUCUGAAUGAAGCUAGAAAUCCUAUCCAUUGGAGGUUUAUGGUUGUUUUGCACUUGCAGCCCCACUAAAGGAGGAAGCCAACAACUAUAAACAAAGGGCACCGAGAAAGAUCAAAUCGUCAACACAAUUCACUAACGCUGGGUUUUGAUGUUUCCAUUGAAGCCUAGAAACGGAAUUGGUAAUCAGUUGACCUCAAUACGGAUGUUCGGUUGUACAAUGAAUUUGUGUUGGAAACACCAGACCAAUUCCAAGUCGUUUUACCUCCCACGUAAAGUUGCCUCCUAUUCUUUUUUUCAUAGAAUUGGCUAGCUCCGCAAAAGUUACCACGUAAAGGGUUUUUUUAGGGGUAAAAUGAAUUGAAUGGUAGUCUAAUUGCUGGAAUUAACACCAACAAAAAUAGAAACUUGGAUGGAGAUGCGGGGGAUCGAACCCCGUGCCUCCCGCAUGCAAAGCGGGCGCUCUACCAUUUGAGCUACAUCCCCACUGUUGACACACUAGCUAAUCCGUGGAUCCAGUGCGUUGCAACCAACAGGAACACUACUAGCAGCUAGUCUGUCCAAUAUUCUCUCUCUCUCAAAAAAAAAAAGGUAGUCUGUCCAAUCGUAUUCGCCCAACGCAAGCAAGAUCUCUGCUCGGGGGAAUAUAUGCUACGCGCAGGUAGGGAUGCAGGCGUCGUCCGCAUGCGAGAGUCUGCGAAGCAAAAAAAGAAACUAGAACCUAUAUAUACCCCCUCGCGUAAGAGCAGAUCACACUGCUUUAUUUUUUCUGGCCGAGAGGGAGAGGGCUUGGUGGUGCUCUACCUCACCUCCUAUGCACACAAGGUGUUCGAUGGAAUGCCCGAGCCACACUACUUAAGCUUUCUCCUCUCCAAGCUUGACCUCCAAGGUUCAUUUUUCUCAAUAUUUGUCUAGGUUUAGCGGUCCGUCACGCCCCGUCCCCGUCUUCACCGCCGUCGAUCACCCGCGCCGAGCUCAUCGCCGGCACCACCGUGGUGAGCCUCUUGUUAUUAUCUUCUUUCUAAAAGGAAAAAUAUUCUUACUUGUAUGUUUACAUAGAUACUUGUAUUAUUUUCUUACUUUUAUUAUUGCAUCUUAUAUAGUGCGAUGGUUUUGGUAUCCGCCCCUGUCGGCCCUUGUCCUGUCUAUGAUUCGGAUGUGGUAUAUAUAUUAUCUUUAUAACUAUUGGUUCAUUUAUUGUUUAUGAAAAUUAUGCCGACCAACGUGACAUAGAUUUUAUUUAUGUAGGAUGUAUGUGAAUCGGAAAUUCCAACCGACCCUAUUGUCGAGAGGUUAAAUUUAGUUGAAGAAGAAAACAAUUUAUUGAAGGAAAAAAUAAAAAAAUUGAGGAGGAGAAGAUGAUAUUGGAGUUGCAUGUUGCGGAUGUCGUCGAUGAUCACAAGAUCAAGAUGGAUGCAAUGCGCUUGAAGAUUAAAAAGAUUAUAAAAUAUGCCAUUCAUACCGAGGCUUGGUAUCAUUAUGCCGUUGGAUCAAUUGUUACCUUGGUUGCGAUUAUGAUCGCAUUUGUUUUCGCAUUGAAAUGUUUUACGUAGUUUCAAUGUAUGGUUUAAUUAAUUAGAUGCUCUAGAGAGCUAUAUGUCGUUAGAUGAGAACUAUGUAUGUACUUUGGUUUUAAUGUGAUGAUGAACUUUUAUUAAUUUGGACACUUAAUUAUAUAUAAUACACGCAGAUGAACUGGCAAUGGAUGUACGGUGACAGACACACCUCCGAGUACAUUAAGGGCGUGCAUGAGUUUCUCGAUGCGGCUGAGGCAAAUAAGCAGAAUGGUUUUAUGUGUUGUCCAUGCACUGAAUGUGGGAAUACGAGGUCUUACUCUAACCGGAAAAUCCUUCACUCUCACCUGCUUUACAAGGGUUUCAUGCCACACUAUAAUGUUUGGACGAGGCACGGAGAAAUAGGGGUUAUGAUGGAAGACGACGAAGAAGAAGAGUACGAUGACAACUAUGUGCCCCCUGAAUACGGUGAUGCUGCAACGGGGGAGCUGAUGAAGAUCAAGAGGAACCAGACGAUGUGUCCAAUGAUGCUGCAACGGGUGAAGCUGCUGAAGAUCAAGAGGAACCAGACGAUGUGCCCGAUGAUGAUGAUCUCCGCCGGGUCAUUGUCGAUGCAAGGACGCAAUGCGAAAGUCAAAAGGAGAAGCUGAAGUUCGAUCGCAUGUUAGAGGAUCACAAAAAAGGGUUGUACCCCAAUUGCGAAGAUGGCAACACAAAGCUCGGUACCGUACUGGAAUUGCUGCAGUGGAAGGCAGAGAAUGCUGUGCCUGGCAAAGGAUUUGAGAAGCUACUGAAAAUAUUGAAGAAGAAGCUUCCAAAGGAUAACGAAUUGCCCGAUAGUACAUACGCAGCAAAGAAGGUCGUAUGCCCUCUAGGAUUGGAGGUGGAGAAGAUACAUGCAUGCCCUAAUGACUGCAUCCUCUACUGCGGUGCAUACAAGGAUCUGAACGCAUGCCCGGUAUGCGGUGCAUUGCGGUAUAAGAUUAGACGAGAUGACCCUGGUGAUGUUGACGGGGAGCCCCCCAGGAAGAGGGUUCCUGCGAAGGUGAUGUGGUAUGCUCCUAUAAUACCACGGUUGAAACGUCUGUUCAGAAACGAAGAGCAUGCCAAGUUGAUGCGAUGGCACAGUGAGGACCGUAAGAAAGACGAGAAGUUGAGAGCACCCGCUGAAGGGUCGUAGUGGAGAAAAAUCGAGAGAAAGUACUGGGAUGAGUUUGCAAAGGACCCAAGGAACGUAUGGUUUGCUUUAAGCGCGGAUGGCAUUAAUCCUUUCGGGGAGCAGAGUAGCAAUCACAGCACCUGGCCCGUGACUCUAUGUAUGUAUAACCUUCCUCCUUGGAUGUGCAUGAAGCAGAGUUCAUUAUGAUGCCAGUUCUCAUCCAAGGCCCUAAUUAAACAACCCGGCAACGACAUUGAUGUGUACCUAAGACCAUUAGUUGAAGAACUUUUACAGCUGUGGAAUGGAAACGGUGUACGUACAUGAGAUGAGCACAGACAGGAGGAAUUUAACCUAAAGGCGUUGCUGUUCGUGACCAUCAACGAUUGGCCCGCUCUCAGUAACCUUUCAGGAUAGACAAACAAAGGAUACCACGCAUGCACGCACUGUUUAGAUGACACUGAAAGUAUAUACCUGGACAAAUGCAGGAAGAAUGUGUACCUGGGCCAUUGUCGAUUUCUUCCGACCAACCAUCAAUGUCGAAAGAAAGGCAAGCAUUUCAAAGGCGAGGCAGAUCACCGGAAGAAGCCCGCCAUGCGUACCGGUGAUCACAUACUUGCUAUGGUCAAUGAUUUACAUGUAAUCUUUGGAAAGGGUCCCGACGGACUAGUUGUUCCGAAUGACGUUGAGGGACACGCACCCAUGUGGAAGAAGAAAUCUAUAUUUUGGGACCUACCGUACUGGAAAGACCUAGAGGUCCGCUCUUCAAUCGACGUGAUGCACGUGACGAAGAACCUUUGCGUGAACCUGCUAGGCUUCUUGGGCGUGUAUGGGAAGACGAAAGAUACACGUGAGGCACGGGAGGACCUGCAACGUUUGCACAAAAAGGAAGGCAUGCCUCCGAAGCAGUAUAAAGGUCCUGCCAGCUUCGCUCUUAUGAAAGAAGAGAAAGAAAUCUUCUUUGAAUGCCUGCUCAGUAUGAAGGUCACGACUGGCUUCUCGUCGAAUAUAAAGGGAAUAAUAAAUAUGCUAGAGAAAAAGUUUCAGAACCUAAAGUCUCAUGACUGCCACGUGAUUAUGACGCAACUUCUUUCGGUUGCAUUGAGGGGGCUUCUACCGGAAAACGUCUGAUUAGCCAUUGUGAAGCUAUGUGCAUUCCUCAAUGCAAUCUCUCAGAAGGUGAUCGAUCCAGAAAUCGUACCAAGGCUGAGGAGUGAUGUGGCGCAAUGUCUUGUCAGUUUUGAGCUGGUGUUCCCACCAUCCUUCUUCAAUAUCAUGACGCACGUCCUAGUUCAUCUAGUCGACGAGAUUGUCAUUCUGGGGCCCGUAUUUCUGUUGGGGAACGUAGUAAUUUCAAAAAAAUUCCUACGCACACGCAAGAUCAUGGUGAUGCAUAGCAACGAGAGGGGAGAGUGAUGUCUACGUACCCUAGUAGACCGGCAACGGAAGCGUUGACAAAACGUAGAUGAAGUAGUCGUACGUCUUCCCGAUCCGACCGAUCCAAGUACCGAACGUACGGCACCUCCGAGUUCUGCACACGUUCAACUCGAUGACGUCCCUCGAGCUCCGAUCCAGCAAAACGUUGAGGGAGAGUUUCGUCAGCACGACGGCGUGAUGAAGGUGAUGAUGUUCUACCGACGCAGGGCUUCGCCUAAGCACCGCUACGAUAUGACCGAGGUGGAAUAUGGUGGAAGGGGGCACCGCACACGGCUAAGAAACGAUCACGAGAACCAACUUGUGUGUCAUGGGGUGCCCCCUUGCCUCAGUAUAUAAAGGAGGGGGAGGGAGAGGUGCGGCAGGCCCUAUGGGUGCGCCUGGAGGAGUCCUACUCCAACCAGGAGUAGGAUUCCCCCCUCUUGCCUUGUUGGAAAAGGAAGGAGGAAGGGAGAAAGAGGAAAGGGGGGCGCUGCCCCCCUUCCUUGUCCUAUUCGGACUAGGGGGGGGGAGGGGGCGCGCGGCCUGCCCUGGCCGGCCCUCCUCUUCUCCCUUAUGGCCCAUGUAGGCCCAAUAACCCCGGGGGGGGGGGGUUCCGGUAACCCCCCGGUACUCUGGUAAAAUCUUGAUUUCACCCGGAACGUUUCCGAUAUCCAAAUAUAGGCUUCCAAUAUAUCAAUCUUUAUGUCUCGACCAUUUCGAGACUCCUCGUCAUGUCCGUGAUCACAUUUGGGACUCCGAACAACCUUCGAUACAUCAAAACACAAAAACCCUAAUUACGAUCAUCACCAAACUUUAAGCGUGCGGAUCCUACGGGUUUGAGAACUAUGUAGACAUGACCGAGACACAUCUCCGGUCAAUAACCAAUAGCGGAACCUGGAUGCUCAUAUUGGCUCCUACAUAUUCUACGAAGAUCUUUAUUGGCCAGACCGCAUAAUAACAUACGUUGUUCCCUUUGUCUUCGGUAUGUUACUUGCCCGAGAUUCGAUCGUCGGUAUCUCAAUACCUAGUUCAAUCUCAUUACCGGCAAGUCUCUUUACUCGUUCCGUAAUACAUCAUCCCGCAACUAACUUAUUAGUUGCAAUGCUUGCAAGGCUUGAGUGAUGUGCAUUACCGAGAGGGCCCAGAGAUACCUCUUCGACAAUCGGAGUGACAAAUCCUAAUCUCGAAAUACGCCAACCCAACAAGUACCUUCGGAGACACCUGUAGAGCACCUUUUUAAAGGCCCAGUUACAUUGUGAUGUUUGGUAGCACAUAAAGUGUUCCUCCGGUAAACGGGAGUUGCAUAAUCUCAUAGUCAUAGGAACAUGUAUAAGUUAUGAAGAAAGAAUUAUCAACAAACUAAAUGAUCAAGUGCUAAGCUAACGGAAUGGGUCAAGUAAAUCACAUCAUUCUCCUAAUGAUGUGAUCCCGUUAAUCAAAUGACAACUCAUGUCUAUCGUUAGGAAACAUAACCAUCUUUGAUCAACGAGCUAGUCAAGUAGAGGCAUACUAGUGACACUCUGUUUUUGUCUAUGUAUUCACACAUGUAUUAUGUUUCCGGUUAAUACAAUUCUAGCAUGAAUAAUAAACAUUUAUCAUGAUAUAAGGAAUUAAAUAAUAACUUUAUUAUUGCCUCUAGGGCAUAUUUCCUUCAGUAUCCCACUUGCACUAGAGUCAAUAAUCUAGAUUACACAGUAAUAAUUCUAACACCCAUGGAGCCUUGGUGCUGAUCAUGUUUUGCUCGUGGAAGAGGCUUAGUCAGGGGGUCUGCAACAUUCAGAUACGUAUGUAUCUUGCAAAUUUCUAUGUAUCCCACUUGGACUAAAUCCCGAAUGGAAUUGAAGCGUCUCUUGAUGUGUUAGGUUCUCUUGUGAAAUCUGGAUUCCUUCGCCAAGGCAAUUGCACCAGUAUUGUCACAAAAAAAAUUCAUUGGACCCGAUGCACUAGGUAAGACACCUAGAUCCGAUAUGAACUCCUUCAUCCAGACUCCUUCAUUUGCUGCUUUCGAAGCAGCUAUGUGAAGGAAAUAUGCCCUAGAGGCAAUAAUAAAGUUAUUAUUUAUUUCCUUAUAUCAUGAUAAAUGUUUAUUAUUCAUGCUAGAAAUGUAUUAACCGGAAACAUAAUACAUGUGUGAAUACAUAGACAAACAGAGUGUCACUAGUAUGCCUCUACUUGACUAGCUCGUUAAUCAAAGAUGGUUAUGUUUCCUAACCAUAGACAUGAGUUGUCAUUUGAUUAACGGGAUCACAUCAUUAGGAGAAUGAUGUGAUUGACUUGACCCAUUUCGUUAGCAUAGCACUUGAUCGUUUAGUUUGUUGCUAUUGCUUUCUUCAUGACUUAUACAUGUUCCUAUGACUAUGAGAUUAUGCAACUCCCGUUUACCAGAGGAACACUUUGUGUGCUACCAAACAUCACAACAUAACUGGGUGAUUAUAAAGGUGCUCUACAGGUGUCUCCGAAGGUACUUGUUGGGUUGGCGUAUUUCGAGAUUAGGAUUUGUCACUCCGAUUGUCGGAGAGGUAUCUCUGGGCCCUCUUGGUAAUGCACAUCACUUAAGCCUUGUAAGCAUUGCAACUAAUGAGUUAGUUGCAGGAUGAUGUAUUAUGGAACGAGUAAAGAGACUUGCCGGUAACGAGAUUGAACUAGGUAUUGAGAUACCGACGACCGAAUCUCGGGCAAGUAACAUACCGAUGACAAAGGGAACAACGUAUGUUGUUAUGCGGUCUGACCGAUAAAGAUCUUCGUAGAAUAUGUGGGAGCCAAUAUGAGCAUCCAGGUUCCGCUAUUGGUUAUUGACCAGAGACGUGUCUCGGUCAUGUCUACAUUGUUCUCGAACCCGUAGGGUCCGCACGCUUAAGGUUUUGAUGACAGUUAUAUUAUGAGUUUAUGAUUUUUGAUGUACCAAAGGAGUUCGGAGUCCCGGGUGAGAUCGGGGACAUGACGAGGAGUCUCGAAAUGGUCGAGACGUAAAGAUAGAUAUAUUGGACAACUAUAUUCGAACAUCGGAAAGGUUCCGUGUGAUUCGGGUAUUUUUCGGAGUACCGAAGAGUUACGGGAAUUCGCCGGGGAGUAUAUGGGCCUUAUUGGGCCAUACGGGAAUAGAGGAGAGAGGCCAAAAGGAAGGAGGCACGCGCGCCCCCUCUGGUCCGAAAUGGACAAGGGGUGCAGCCCACUUUUCCUUGUUCCUCUCCCCCUCUCUCCUUCUCUCCUACUCCAACAAGGGAAGGAGGAGUCCUACUCCCGGUGGGAGUAGGACUCCCCCCUUGGCGCGCCCUCCUCCUAGGCCGGCCGCCUCCCUCCCUUGCUCCUUUAUAUACGGCGGCAGGGGGGCACCCAAUAGACACAACAAUUGAUCAUUGAUAUCUUAGCUGUGUGCGGUGCCCCCCUCCACCAUAGUCCUCGAUAAUAUUGUAGUGGUGCUUAGGCGAAGCCCUGCGACAGUAGAACAUCAAGAUCGUCACCACACCGUCAUGCUGACAGAACUCUUCCCCGACAUUCUGCUGGAUCGGAGUCCGGGGAUCGUCAUCGAGCUGAACGUGUUCUAGAACUCGGAGGUGCCGUAGUUUCGGUGCUUGAUCGGUUGGGCCAUGAAGAAGUACGACUACAUCAACCGUGUUGUGCUAACGCUUCCGCUUUCGGUCUACGAGGGUACGUGGACAACACUCUCCCCUCUCGUUGCUAUGCAUCACCAUGAUAUUGCGUGUGCGUAGGAAAUUUUUGAAAUUACUAUGUUCCCCAACAGUGGCAUCUGAGCCUAGGUUUUAUGCGUUGAUGUUGUGCACGAGUAAAACACAAGUGAGUUGUGGGCGAUAUAAGUCAUACUGCUUACCAGCAUGUCACACUUUGGUUCGGCGGUAUUGUUGGAUGAAGCGGCCCGGACCGACAUUACCCGUAUGCUUACGCGAGACUAGUUCUACCGACGUGCUUUGCACACAGGUGGCUAGCGGGUGUCAGUUUCUCCAACUUUAGUUGAACCGAGUGUGGCUACGCCCGGUCCUUGCGAAGGUUAAAACAGCACCAACUUGACAAACUAUCGUUGUGGUUUUGAUGCGUAGGUAAGAACGUUUCUUGCUCAGCCCUUAGCAGCCACGUAAAACUUGCAACAACAAAGUAGAGGACGUCUAACUUGUUUUUGUAGGGCAUGUUGUGAUGUGAUAUGGUCAAGACAUGAUGCUAAAUUUUAUUGUAUGAGAUGACCAUGUUUUGUAACCGAGUUAUUGGCAACUGGCAGGAGCCAUAUGGUUGUCGCUUUAUUGUAUGCAAUGCAAUUGCGCUGUAAUGCUUUACUUUAUCACUAAGCGGUAGCGAUAGUCAUGGAAGCAUAAUAUUGGCGAGACGACGACGAUGCUACGAUGGUGAUCAAGGUGUCGCGCCGGUGACAAUUGUGAUCAUGACGGUGCUUCGGAGAUGGAGAUCACAAGCACAAGAUGAUGAUGGCCAUAUCAUAUCACUUAUAUUGAUUGCAUGUGAUGUUUAUCUUUUAUGCAUCUUAUCUUGCUUUGUUUGACGGUAGCAUUGUAAGAUGAUCUCUCACUAAAUUUCAAGAUAAAAGUGUUCUCCCUGAGUAUGCACCAUUUCCAAAGUUCGUCGUGCCAGACACCACAUGAUGAUCGGGUGUGAUAAGCUCUACGUCCAUCUACAACGGGUGCAAGCCAGUUUUGCACAUGCAGAAUACUCAGGUUAAACUUGACGAGCCUAGCAUAUGCAGAUAUGGCCUCGGAACACUGAGACUGAAAGGUCGAGCGUGAAUCAUAUAGUAGGUAUGAUCAACAUAAUGAUGUUCACCAUUGAAAGCUAUUCCAUUUCACGUGAUGAUCGGUUAUGGUUUAGUUGAUUUGGAUCACGUGAUCACUUAGAUGAUUAGAGGGAUGUCUAUCUAAGUGGGAGUUCUUAAGUAAUAUGAUUAAUUGAACUUUAAUUUAUCAUGAACUUAGUCCUGGUAGUAUUAGCAUAUCUAUGUUGUAGAUCAAUAGCUCGCGAUGUUGCUCCCCAUUUAAUUUUUAUAUGUUCCUAGAGAAACUAAGUUGAAAAAUGUUAGUAGCAAUGAUGCGGAUUGGAUCCAUGAUCUGAGGAUUAUCCUCAUUGCUGCACAGAAGAAUUAUGUCCUUGAUGCACCGCUAGGUGACAGACCUAUUGCAGGAGCAGAUGCAGACGUUCUGAAUGUUUGGCUAGCUCAAUAUGAUGACUACUUGAUAGUUUAGUGCACCAUGCUUAACGGCUUAGAAUGGGGACUUCAAAGACAUUUUUAACGUCAUGGAACAUAUGAGAUGUUCCAGGAGUAGAAGUAAAUAUUUCAAGCAAAUACCCGAGUUGGGAGAUAUGAAGUCUCCAACAAGUUCAAUAGCUAAAAGAUGGAGGAGAAUAGCUCAAGCAGUGAGCAUGUGCUCAGAUUGUCUGGGUACUACAAUCGCUUGAAUCAAGUGGGAGUUAAUCUUCCAGAUAAAAUAGUGAUUGACAGAAUUCUCUAGUCACCAUCACCAAGUUAGUAGAACUUCUUGAUGAACUAUAAUAUGCAAGGGAUAACGGAAACGAUUCCUAAGCUCUUCGCGAUGCUUAAAUCGACGAAGGUAGAAAUCAAGAAAAGCAUCAAAGUGUUGAUGGUAAACAAAACCACUAGUUUCAAGUAAAGGGACAAAGGGAAGAAAGGGGAACUUCAAUAAGAACGGCAAGCAAGUUGCUGCUCAAGUGAAAAAACCAAGUCUGGACCGAAGCCUGAAACUGAGUGCUACUACUGCAAAGGGACUGGUCAUUGGAAGCGGAACUACCCCAAGUAUUUGGCGGAUAAGAAGGAUGGCAAAGUGAACAAAGGUAUAUUUGAUAUACAUAUUAUUGGUGUGUAUUUUACUAGUGUUCAUAGCAACCCCUCGGUAUUUGAUACUGGUUCAGUUGCUAAGAGUAGUAACUCAAAACGGGAGUUGCAGAAUGAACAGAGACUAGUUAAGGGUGAAGUGAUGAUGUGUGUCGGAAGUGGUUCCAAGAUUGAUAUGAUCAUCAUCGCACACUCCCUAUACUUUCGGGAUUAGUGUUGAACCUAAAUAAGUGUCAUUUGGUGUUUGCGUUGAGCAUGAAUAUGAUUUGAUCAUGUUUAUUGCAAUACGGUUAUUCAUUUAAGUAAGAGAAUAAAUUGUUGUUCUGUUUACAUGAAUAAAACCUUAUAUGGUUACACACCCAAUGAAAAUGGUUCGUUGGACCUUGAUCAUAGUGAUACACAUAUUCAUAAUAUUGAAACCAAAAGAUGCAAAGUUAAUAAUGAUAGUGCAACUUAUUUGUGGCACUGCCGUUUAGGUCAUAUUGGUGUAAAACGCAUGAAGAAAAUCCAUGCUGAUGGGCUUUUGGAAUCACUUGAUUAUGAAUCAAUUGAUGCUUGCGAACCAUGCCUCAUGGGCAAGAUGACUAAGACUCUGUUCUCCGGAACAAUGGAGCAAGCAACAGAUUUAUUGGAAAUCAUACAUACUGAUGUGUGUGGUCCGAUGAAUAUUGAGGCUCGCGGCAAGUAUCAUUAUUUUCUGAUCUUCACAGAUGAUUUGAGCAAAUAUGAGUAUAUCUACUUGAUGAAACACAAAUAUGAAACAUUUGAAAAGUUUGAACAAUUUCAGAGUGAAGUGGAGAAUCAUCGUAACAAAAAUAAAAGUUUCUUCGAUAUGAUCGCAGAAGGAAAAUAUUUGAGUUACGAGUUUGGCCUUCAGUUAAAACAUUGUGAAAUAGUUUCACUACUCACGCCACCUGGAACACCACAGUGUAAUGGUGUGUCUGAACGUCGUAACCGAACUUUAUUAUAUAUGGUGUGAUCUAUGACGUCUCUUACGAUUUACCGCUAUCGUUUUGGGGUUAUGCAUUAGAGACAGCUACAUUCACGUUAAAUAGGGCACCAUCUAAAUCCGUUGAGACGACACCAUAUGAACUAUGGUUUGGCAAGAAACCUAAGCUGUCGUUUCUUAAAGUUUGAGGUUGCAAUGCUUAUGUGAAAAAGUUUCAACCUGAUAAGCUCAAACCCAAACCGGAGAAGUGCGUCUUCAUAGGAUACCCAAAAGAAAAUAUUGGGUACACCUUCUAUCACAGAUCCGAAGGCAAGAUAUUCGUUGCUGAGAAUGGAUCCUUUCUAGAGAAGGAGUUUCUCUCGAAAGAAGUGAGUGGGAGGAAAGUAGAACUUGAUGAGGUAACUGUACCUGCUCCCUUAUUGGAAAGUAGUUCAUCACAAAAAUCUGUUCCUGUGACUACUACACCAAUUGGUGAGGAAGCUAAUGAUGAUGAUCAUGUAACUUCAGAUAAAGUUGCUACCGAACCUCGUAGGUAAACCAGAGUGAGAUCCGCACUAGAGUGGUACGGUAAUCCUGUUCUGGAGGUCAUGUUACUUGACUAUGACGAGCCUACGAACUACGAGGAAGCGAUGAUGAGCCCAGAUUCCGCGAAAUGGCUUGAGGCCAUGAAAUCUGAGAUGAGAUCCAUGUAUGAGAACAAAGUAUGGACUUUGAUUGACUUGCCCAAUGAUCGACGAGCCAUUGAGAUUAAAUGGAUCUUCAAGAGGAAGACGGACGCUGAUAUUAGUGUUACUAUCUACAAAGCUAGAAUUGUCGCAAAAAGGUUUUCGACAAGUUCAAGGUGUUGACUACGAUGAGAGUUUCUCACUCGUAUCUAUGCUUAAGUCUGUCCGAAUCAUGUUAGCAAUUGCCGCAUUUUAUGAAAUCUGGCAAAUGGAUAAACAAAACGGCAUUCCUUAAUGGAUUUAUUAAAGAAGAGUUGUAUAUGAUGCAACCAGAAGAUUUUGUCAAUCCUAAAGGUACUAACAAAAUAUGCAAGCUCCAGCGAUCCAUCUAUGGACUGGUGCAAGCAUCUCGGAGUUGGAAUAUACGCUUUGAUAAGUUGAUCAAAGCAUAUAGUUUUAUACAGACUUGCGGUGAAGCCUGUAUUUACAAGAAAGUGAGUGGGAGCACUACAACAUUUCUGAUAAGUAUAUGUGAAUGACAUAUUGUUGAUCGGAGAUAAUGUAGAAUUAUUCUGCAAAGCAUAAAGGAAUGUUUGAAAGGAGUUUUUCAAAGAAAGACCUCGGUGAAGCUGCUUACAUAUUGAGCAUCAAGAUCUAUAGAGAUAGAUCAAGACACUUGAUAAGUUUUUCAAUGAGUACGUACCUUGACAAGAUUUUGAAAUAGUUCAAAAUGGAACAGUCAAAGAAGGAGUUCUUGCCUGUGUUACAAGGUGUGAAGUUGAGUAAGACUCAAAACCCGACCCCGGCAGAAGAUAGAGAGAAAAUGAAAGUCAUUCCCUAUGCCUCAGCCAUAGGUUCUAUAAAGUAUGCCAUGCUGUGUACCAGACCUAUUAUAUACCCUGCCCUGAGUUUGGCAAGGGAGUACAAUAGUGAUCUAGGACUAGAUCACUAGACAGCGGUCAAAAAUAUCUUUAGUGGAAUAAGGAUAUGUUUCUCGAUUAUGGAGGUGACAAAAGGUUCGUCGUAAAGGGUUACAUCGAUGCAAAUUUUGACACUGAUCCAGAUGACUCUAAAUCUCAAUCUGGAUACAUAUUGAAAGUGGGAGCAAUUAGCUAGAGUAGCUCCGUGCAGAGCAUUGUUGACAUAGAAAUUUGCAAAAUACUUACGGAUCUGAAUGUGGCAGACCCGUUGACUAAACUUCUCUCACAAGCAAAACAUGAUCACACCUUAGUACUCUUUUGGUGUUAAUCACAUAGCGAUGUGAACUAGAUUAUUGACUCUAGUAAACCCUUUGGGUGUUGGUCACAUGUCGAUGUGAACUAUGGGUGCUAAUCACAUGGUGAUGUGAACUAUUGGUAUUAAAUCACAUGGCGAUGUGAACUAGAUUAUUGACUCUAGUGCAAGUGGGCGACUGAAGGAAAUAUGCCCUAGAGGCAAUAAUAAAGUUAUUAUUUAUUUCCUUAUAUCAUGAUAAAUGUUUAUUAUUCAUGCUAGAAUUGUAUUAACCGGAAACAUAAUACAUGUGUGAAUACAUAGACAAACAGAGUGUCACUAGUAUGCCUUUACUUGACUAGCUCAUUAAUCAAAGAUGGUUAUGUUUCCUAACCAUAGACAUGAGUUGUCAUUUGAUUAACGGGAUCACAUCAUUAGGAGAAUGAUGUGAUUGACUUGACCCAUUCUGUUAGCAUAGCACUUGAUUGUUUAGUUUGUUGCUAUUGCUUUCUUCAUGACUUAUACAUGUUCCUAUGACUAUGAGAUUAUGCAACUCCUGUUUACCGGAGAAACACUUUGUGUGCUACCAAACGUCACAACGUAACUGGGUGAUUAUAAAGGUGCUCUACAGGUGUCUCCGAAUGUACUUAUUGGGUUGGCGUAUUUCGAGAUUAGGAUUUGUCACUCCGAUUGUCGGAGAGGUAUCUCUGGGCCCUCUCGGUAAUGCACAUCACUUAAGCCUUGCAAGCAUUACAACUAAUGAGUUAGUUGCAGGAUGAUGUAUUACGGAAUGAGUAAAGAGACUUGCCGGUAACGAGAUUGAACUAGGUAUUGAGAUACCGACGAUCGAAUCUCAUGCAAGUAACAUACCAAUGACAAAGGGAACAACGUAUGUUGUCAUGAGGUCUGACCGAUAAAGAUCUUCGUAGAAUAUGUGGGAGCCAAUAUGAGCAUCCAGGUUCCGCUAUUGGUUAUUGACCGGAGACAUGUCUCGGUCAUGUCUACAUUGUUCUCGAUCCCGUAGGGUCCGCACGUGUAACACACUCGAUGCGACUAUAGCUCCCACGUGUCGAGGCACGACUUAGAGACAUAAUCGCAUUGAAGGCAUAUGUCACAAGUCAGGCAAUCAUCACAACAUCCCAUGUAAUAUAGAUAAUAAAAGGGAUAACAUAGUUGGCUUACACUCGCCACGUCAAUCAAGUACAUAAAUAACAUUACAUCAUCCAAACACUCAUGGCCCGACUACGGCGCCAAAAUAAAAGAUAACCCAACAUGCGACACGGUCCCGAUCACCCCAACAGGGAACGACUAUUGAUCAUCAGGAAAAAAACAUAGUAACGUUGAGAGUCCUCGUCGAACUCCCACUUGAGCUCGAGCGCGUCACCUGGAGCAGAAUCAUCUGGACCUGCAUCUGGUGUAAUAGUAAUCUGUGAGCCACAGGGACUCAGCAAUCUCGCACCCUCGCGAUCAAGACUAUUUAAGCUUAUAGGCAAGGCAAGGUAAAUAUAUAAGUGGAGCUGCAGCAAGCGACUAGCAUAUAUGGUGGCUAACUUAUUCGCAAAAGAGAGCGAGAAGAGGAGGCAAAGCGCGAGCGAGACACUAGAGGACAACCUGCGCAAAGAUUACUCCAACACCGUGUCCACUUCCCGGACUCCGCCGAGAAGAGGCCAUCACGGUAACACACUCAGUUGAUUCAUUUUAAUUAAGUUAAGGUUCAAGUUAUCUACAACCAGACAUUAACAAAUUCCCAUCUGCCCAUAACCGCGGGCACGGCUUUCGAAAGUUCAAAUCCCUGCAGGGGAGUCCCAACUUAGCCCAUGACAAGCUCUCACGGUCAACGAAGGAAUAGACCUCCUCCCGAGAGUUCCGAUCAGACUUGGUACCUCGGUUCUUCAAGACACUUCGACAAGUUAAAACAAGACCAGCAACACCGCCCGAAUGUGCCGACAAAUCCCGAUAGGAGCUGCACAUAUCUCGUUCUCAGAGCACACUCAGAUGAGACUAGCUACGAGUAAAACAAACUCUCAAGUUGCCCCGAGGUGGCCCCGCAGGCAGCUCAGUUCAGGCCAACACUUAGAGGAGCACUGGCCCGGGGGGGGGGGGUUUAAAAUAAGAUGACCCUUGAGUCCACGAAACCCAAGGGAAAAGGCUAGGUGGCAAAUGGUAAAACCAAGAUUGGGCAUUGCUGGAAAAGCUUUAAUCAAGGCGAAUCUAUCAAGGGGUUCCCAUUAUAACCCAACCGCGUAAGGAACGCAAAAUCCGGGAAAAUAACAUCGAUAUGACGGAAACUAGGGCGGCAAGAGUGGAACAAAACACUAAGCGAGAGGCCGAGCCUUCCACCCUUUACCAAGUAUAUAGAUGCAUUAAGAUAACAUGGCAAUAUAAUGGUAUCCCAACAAGUAAAUAAAUGUUCCAACAAGGAACGGUCUCCAAUCUUCACCUGCAACUAGCAACGCUAUAAGAGGGGCUGAGCAAAGCGGUAACAUAGCCAAUCAACUGUUUGCUAGGACAUGGUAGGUUAGAGGUUUGAUAUGGCAAUUUGGGAGGCUUGAAAGCAAAUGGUAGGCAUCGUAGCAUUGGCAUAGCAAAAGAGCGAGCAAACUAGCAUAGCAAAGAUAGUAGUGAUUUCCAGGGUAUGAUCAUCUUGCCUGCAAAGUUGUCAGAGUUGACUGGAUCCUCGAAAGCAAACUCAACAGGCUCCUCAUUAGCAAACCCGUCUCCUGGCUCUACCCAAACAAGACAAACAAUCAACAAGGACACAGUCAACCACGAGCAAGGAUCAAACAAUAUGAUGCAAACAUGGUAUGCUAUGCGGGAUGCGAUGCGGGAUGCAUAUGCAAGAUGUGACAGGAAAUGCAUGGACCUGGCCUCAACUGAGAAAACCAAGUGUGCCACUGGAAAGAUGAGAUGAAAUCACUUGAAAACGAUAUAAAGAAUGCCGAAAUCGGGGUUACGGUUUGGAAAUGGCAAGCGAUUCAAAUAUGACACCGGUCUGCGAUUUACAGCAAGUAGACAUCUAAAUGCAAUGAGAUGAACGUGCUCCAGCACUCAAACAUGGCAUCAAAAUACAUGGCAGGGAUGCAUUCAAGAUACUUAACAAAAGUCUAGCACUGAGCUAUGGCCAAUUCAUCCAUUAACAGGUUCAAACAAGCAUGGCAAAAAUGCAUAUGGUAAACAGAUCUCAGACUUAGUGAAAUUAACACUUGUCUGAAAUUUCAGAUCAGGUAGCACUCUUCGGAGCAACAAAACUACAUGCUACAUGACCUGAACAUGGCAAAGUAAAGCAUGGCAUGAAGAUACUCAAAGAUCUUAACAAAAGUCCCUUAGUGACCUUGAGCCAAAAGGGAUCAGAAGACACAAUUGCAAGCAUGUGAACAUAGCAAAAACAUAAUCAGUUUUCAGACUUGGUGAAAAACAGGCACAUGCUGAAACAUAACUCAAGUAGGCAUGUUUACGAGCUCGAUGCACUCACUACGGAGCAAGUCAUGAAAAGCUAAGCAUACAUCUAUCAAUAAUACACAAAAUUAAAGGUAGACAUGGAAAGAACAAAAGCAUAGCAUGCACGGAUCAACUACAACAUCAUCGGCAAAAUUGCAAACAAGUUGACAAUCUUCCCAGAUUCACAAAGUAGCAAAAGUAGAGCUCGAUUGACUCAAGCUAGGGUGCUCCGUAAUUGCAAACAAAGACAUGGAUGGAUAGAGCACUACAAUAUUAGUAAAACAUCCUUACUGAUCAUCCUCAAAAGAGGCACGGAUCACUAGGAAACAACAUGAACAUAUGGCAACAUGAGAUAAACAGCUCAAGGACUUAGUGGAAUUGCUAAGUCCCUGAAAACAGAAUUACCAAGUGCCUCACUUUGCAAGCUUGCACUAGUCACCACACACAUUACAAAAAUACAUGGAUUGCACCUCUGGAGAGAUGGCAAAACCCUUAACAAAACAUAUGUAGAGCAUCAGGGCAUAUCAUGCACACAAUAAUCAUGGCAAAAAUGACAAAAGUCUAAAUGGAGUAGCAGAUCUGACAAUUAACUCAAGUAGCCUCCUUGUAACAGCAUUUUGGGCAUCAAGAUGAACUCAAAUGAAAAUGAUGCAAUGGAAUGAAAUGAUGUACUCUCUGAGAUGAACAUUUUUAUAUGCUAUAUGCAUGAAUCGGAGCUACGGAUGCAAAGUUACGGCAGGUCCAAGAUGGCAAAAUAGUUAGGGUUUCUGAGGGAAAAGUCAACCCGAGGAGAUAGAUCUAGAUCGGAUCGGGGCACGCAGAAACCGAGGUCCAUCGAGCACUGUUCACCGGCGGGGAGAGAGCUCGCCGGAGCCGGCAUGAGGGCGGGUAGGCGGCGGGGCGAGGCCGAUCGCCGGAGCCGUCGUGACGGCGGGGAGGCGGCGGCGGCAGGCCUCGGUGGAGGCGGCGGGGUCGCNNNNNNNNNNNNNNNNNNNNNNNNNNNNNNNNNNNNNNNNNNNNNNNNNNNNNNNNNNNNNNNNNNNNNNNNNNNNNNNNNNNNNNNNNNNNNNNNNNNNNNNNNNNNNNNNNNNNNNNNNNNNNNNNNNNNNNNNNNNNNNNNNNNNNNNNNNNNNNNNNNNNNNNNNNNNNNNNNNNNNNNNNNNNNNNNNNNNNNNNNNNNNNNNNNNNNNNNNNNNNNNNNNNNNNNNNNNNNNNNNNNNNNNNNNNNNNNNNNNNNNNNNNNNNNNNNNNNNNNNNNNNNNNNNNNNNNNNNNNNNNNNNNNNNNNNNNNNNNNNNNNNNNNNNNNNNNNNNNNNNNNNNNNNNNNNNNNNNNNNNNNNNNNNNNNNNNNNNNNNNNNNNNNNNNNNNNNNNNNNNNNNNNNNGGAGGGAGGAGGCAGGCGGCGAGGCGCGCAGGCCGGGAGGGCCUGAUGCGGGCUCUUCGGGCUGGCGGCGGGAGCAGCGCGGCGGCGCCACGUGGCAGGCAUGGAGUGGCUGGCGGCGGUGUGUCCGGCCGGCGCGAGGGAGAUUUUUAGGGUUUCGGACGAGGGGAUCCGGAUUUGGGAAGGGGGGUCUAUAAAUAGGCAUAGGAGGAGCUAGGAGAGUCCAAAUGAGGAGCGGUUUUCGGCCACGCGAUCAUGAUUGAACGCUCUAGAUGAUGGAGCAGGUUUAGUUGGGUUUUGGGCCAAAAUGGGGGGUGUUGGGCUGCAACACACACAAGGCCUUUUCGGUCCCUCGGUUAACCGUUGGAGUGUCAAACGAAGUCCAAAUGGUACGAAACUUGACAUGCGGUCUACUGGAAGUAAACCAAGGCCGCUUGGGAAGUCUCGGUCCAAUCCGGAAAUGUUUAAUCCCCACACACGAAAGAAAGGUAGAAAUGACCACCGGAGGAGAACGAAGCGCCGGAAUGCAAAACGGGCCAUGGGGAAAAUGCUCGAAUGCAUGAGAUGAACACGUAUGCAAAUGCAAUGCACAUGAUGACAUGAUAUGAGAUGCAUGAUAACGAUAACAACACACGGAGACAAAGACCCGAACCCGAGAAAAUAAAAUAACUUAACGCCGGAAACGGCAAGAGUUGGAGUACAAAUUGGGUAAGUUACAUCCGGGGUGUUACAGCACGCUUAAGGUUUCGAUGACAGUUAUAUUAUGAGUUUAUGAGUUUUUAUGUACCAAAGGAGUUCGGAGUCCCGGAUGAGAUCGUGGACAUGACGAGGAGUCUCAAAAUGGUCGAGGCGUAAAGAUCGAUAUAUUGGACGACUAUAUUCGGACAUCGGAAAGGUUCUGAGUGAUUCGGGUAUUUUUCGGAGUACCAGAGAGUUACGGGAAUUCGCCGGGGAGUAUAUGGGCCUUAUUGGGCCAUACGGGAAUAGAGGAGAGAGGCCAACAAGAAGGAGGCGCGUGCCCCCCCCUCUGGUCCGAAUUGGACAAGGGGUGCAGCCCACUUUUCCUUGUUCCUCUCCCCCUCUUUCCUUCUCUCCUACUCCAACAAGGGAAGGAGGAGUCCUACUCCCGGUGGGAGUAGGACUCCCCCCUUGGCGCGCCCUCCUCCUAGGACGGCCGCCUCCCUCCCUUGCUCCUUUAUAUACGGGGGCAGGGGGGCACCCCAUAGACACAACAAUUGAUCAUUGAUCUUUUAGCCGUGUGCGAUGUUCCCCUCCACCAUAGUCCUCGAUAAUAUUGUAGUGGUGCUUAGGCGAAGCCCUGCGACAGUAGAAUAUCAAGAUCGUCACCACACCGUCGUGCUGACAAAAAUCUUCCCUGACAUUCUGCUGGAUCGGAGUCCGGGGAUCGUCAUCGAGCUGAACGUGUGCUAGAACUCGGAGGUGCCGUAGUUUCGGUGCUUGAUCGGUCGGGCCGUGAAGACGUACGACUACAUUAACCGCGUUGUGCUAACGCUUCCGCUUUCGGUCUACGAGGGUACGUGAACAACACUCUCCCCUCUCAUUGCUAUGCAUCACCAUGAUCUUGCGUGUGCGUAGGAAAUUUUUGAAAUUACUACGUUCCCCAACACUAUGUACUCCGCUUCACGUGUAGAUCCUGCCACGACGCUUUGUUUAGAACUGGACCAACUGACAGCUCCACCGUUCAGUAAAAACACGUAUCCGGUUUGUGAUUUAGAAUCGUCCGGAUCAGUGUCAAAGCUUGCAUCAACGUAACCAUUUACGAUGAGCUCUUUGUCACCUCCAUAUACGAGAAACAUAUCCUUAGUCCUUUUCAGGUAUUUCAGGAUGUUCUUGAUCGCUGUCCAGUGAUCCACUCCUGGAUUACUUUGGUACCUCCCUGCUAGACUUAUAGCAAGGCACACAUCAGGUCUGGUACACAGCUUUGCAUACAUGAUAGAGCCUAUGGCUGAAGCAUAGGGAACAUCUUUCAUUUUCUGUCUAUCUUCUGCGGUGGUCGGACAUUGAGUCUUACUCAACUUCACACCUUGUAACACAGGCAAGAACCUUUUCUUUGCUUGAUCCAUUUUGAACUUCUUGAAAACCUUGUCAAGGUAUGUGCUUUGUGAAAGUCCAAUUAAGCGUCUUGAUCUAUCUCUAUAGAUCUUAAUGCCCAAUAUGUAAGCAGCUUCACCGGGGUCUUUCAUUGAAAAACUCUUAUUCAAGUAUCCCUUUAUGCUAUCCAGAAAUUCUAUAUCAUUUCCAAUCAAUAAUAUGUCAUCCACAUAUAAUAUCAGAAAUGCUACAGAGAUCCCACUCACUUUCUUGUAAAUACAGGCUUCUCCAAAAGUCUGUAUAAAACCAAAUGCUUUGAUCACACUAUCAAAGCGUUUAUUCCAACUCCGAGAGGCUUGCACCAGUCCAUAAAUGGAUCGCUGGAGCUUGCACACUUUGUUAGCUCCCUUUGGAUCGACAAAACCUUCUGGUUGCAUCAUAUACAACUCUUCUUCUAGAAAUCCAUUCAGGAAUGCAGUUUUGACUUCCAUUUGCCAAAUUUCAUAAUCAUAAAAUGCGGCAAUUGCUAACAUGAUUCGGACAGACUUAAGCAUCGCUAUGGGUGAGAAGGUCUCAUCGUAGUCAAUCCCUUGAACUUGUCGAAAACCUUUUGCAACAAGUCGAGCUUUGUAGACAGUAACAUUACCGUCAGCGUCAGUCUUCUUCUUGAAGAUCCAUUUAUUCUCAAUUGCUUGCCGAUCAUCGGGCAAGUCAACCAAAGUCCAUACUUUGUUAUCAUACAUGGAUCCCAUCUCAGAUUUCAUGGCUUCAAGCCACUUUGCGGAAUCUGGGCUCACCAUCGCUUCUUCAUAGUUCGUAGGUUCAUCAUGAUCUAGUAGCAUGACUUCCAGAAUAGGAUUACCGUACCACUCUGGCGCGGAUCUCACUCUGGUUGAUCUACGAGGUUCAGUAGUAUCUUGAUCUAAAGUUUCAUGAUCAUCAUCAUUAGCUUCCUCUCUAAUUGGUGUAGGUGUCACUGAAACAGUUUUCUAUGAUGCACUACUUUCCAAUAAGGGAGUAGGUACAGUUACCUUGUCAAGUUCUACUUUCCUCCCACUCACUUCUUUCGAGAGAAACUCCUUCUCUAGAAAGUUUCCGAAUUUAGCAACAAAAGUCUUGCCUUUGGAUCUGUGAUAGAAGGUGUACCCAACAGUCUCCUUUGGGUAUCCUAUGAAGACACAUUUCUCCGAUUUGGGUUCGAGCUUAUCAGGUUGAAGCUUUUUCACAUAAGCAUCGCAGCCCCAAACUUUUAGAAACGACAACUUCGGUUUCUUGCCAAACCACACAUAAGGCGUCAUCUCAACGGAUUUCGAUGGUGUCCUAUUUAACGUGAAUGCAGCCGUCUCUAAAGCAUAACCCCAAAAUGAUAACGGUAAAUCAGUAAGAGACAUUGUAGAUCGCACCAUAUCUAAUAAAGUACGAUUACGACGUUCGGACACACCAUUACGCCGUGGUGUUCUAGAUGGCGUGAGUUGCGAAACUAUUCCGCAUUGUUUCAAAUGUAGACCAAACUCGCAACUCAAAUAUUCUCCUCCAUGAUCAGAUCAUAGAAACUUUAUUUUCUUGUUAUGAUGAUUUCCAACUUCACUCUAAAAUUCUUUGAACUUUUCAAAUGUUUCAGACCUAUGUUUCAUUAAGUAGAUAUACCCAUAUCUGCUUAAAUCAUCUGUGAAGGUGAGAAAAUAACGAUAUCCGCCACGAGCCUCAACAUUCAUUAGACCAUUUACAUCUGUAUGUAUGAUUUCCAACAAAUCCGUAGCUCUCUCCAUAGUACCGGAGAACGGCGUUUUAGUCAUCUUACCCAUGAGGCACGGAUCGCAAGUACCAAGUGAUUCAUAAUCAAGUGGAUCCAAAAGUUCAUCAGUAUGGAGUUUCUUCAUGCGCUUUACACCGAUAUGACCUAAAUGGCAGUGCCACAAAUAAGCUGCACUAUCAUUAUCAACUCUGCAUCUUUUGAUUUUAACAUUAUGAAUAUGUGUAUCACUACUACCGAGAUUCAUCAAAGAUAGACCACUCUUCAAGGGUGCAUGACCAUAAAAGAUAUUACUCAUAUAAAUAGAACAACCAUUAUUCUCUGAUUUAAAUGAAUAACCGUCUCGCAUCAAACAAGAUCCAGAUAUAAUGUUCAUGCUCAGCACUUGCACCACAUAACAAUUAUUUAGGUAUAAUACUAAUCUCGAAGGUAGAUGUAGAGGUAGCGUGCUGACCGCGAUCACAUCAACUUUGGAACCAUUUCCCACGCGCAUCGUCACCUCGUCCUUAGCCAAUCUUCGCUUAAUCCAUAGCCCCUGUUUCGAGUUGCAAAUGUUAGCAAUAGAACUAGUAUCAAAUACCCAGGUGCUACUGCGAGCAUUAGUAAGGUACACAUCAAUAACAUGUAUAUCACAUAUACCUUUGUUCACUAUGCCAUCCUUCUUAUCCGCCAAAUACUUGGGGCAGUUCCGCUUCCAGUGACCAGUCUGCUUGCAGUAGAAGCACUCAGUCUUAGGCUUACGUCCAGACUUGGGUUUCUUCUCCUGCGCAGCAACUUGUUUGUUGUUCUUCUUGAAGUUACCUUUCUUCUUCCCUUUGCCCUUUUUCUUGAAACUGGUGGUCUUAUUGACCAUCAACACUUGAUGCUCCUUCUUGAUUUCUACCUCCGUGGCUUUUAGCAUCGCGAAGAGCUCAGGAAUAGUUUUAUUCAUCCCUUGCAUAUUAUAGUUCAUCAUGAAGCUUUUGUAGCUUGGUGGCAGUGAUUGAAGAACUCUGUCAAUGACACUAUCAACUAGAAGAUUAACCCCCAGUUGAGUCAAGUGAUUAUGAUACCCAGACAUUUUGAGUAUAUGUUCACUGACAGAACUAUUCUCCUCCAUCUUGCAGCUAUAGAACUUAUUGGAGACUUCAUAUCUCUCAAUCCGGGCAUUUGCUUGAAAUAUUAACUUCAACUCCUGGAACAUCUCAUAUGCUCUAUGAUGUUUCAAAACAUCGUUGAAGACCCGGUUCUAAGCCGUAAAGCAUGGCACACUGAACUAUCGAGUAGUCAUCAGCUUUGCUCUGCCAGAUGUUCAUAACAUCUGGUGUUGCUCCUGCAGUAGGCUUGGCACUUAGCGGUGCUUCCAGGAUGUAAUUCUUCUGUGCAGCAAUGAGGAUAAUCCUCAAGUUACGGACCCAGUCCGUGUAAUUGCUACCAUCAUCUUUCAACUUUGCUUUCUCAAGGAACACAUUAAAAUUCAACGGAACAACAGCACGAGCCAUCUAUCUACAAUCAAACAUAGACAAGGAAGAUACUAUCAGGUACUAAGUUCAUGAUAAAUUUAAGUUCAAUUAAUCAUAUUACUUAAGAAAUCCCACUUAGAAAGAUAUCCCUCUAAUCCUCUAAGUGAUCACGUGAUCCAAAUCAACUAAACCAUGUCCGAUCAUCACGUGAUAUGGAGUAGUAUCAAUGGUGAACAUCAAUAUGUUGAUCAUAUCUACUAUAUGAUUCACGCUUGACCUUUCGGUCUCCGUGUUCCGAGGCCAUAUCUGUUAUAUGCUAGGCUCGUCAAGUUAAACCUGAGUAUUCCGCGUGUGCAACUGUUUUUCACCCGUUGUAUUUGAACGUAGAGCCUAUCACACCCGAUCAUCACGUGGUGUCUCAGCACGAAGAACUUUCGCAACGGUGCAUACUCAGGGAGAACACUUAUACUUUGAUAAUUUAGUGAGGGAUCAUCUUAUAAUGCUACCGUCAAUCAAAGCAAGAUAAGAUGCAUAAAAGAUAAACAUCACAUGCAAUCAAUAUAAGUGAUAUGAUAUGGCCAUCAUCAUCUUGUGCUUGUGAUCUCCAUCUCCGAAGCACCUUCAUGAUCACCAUCGUCACCGGCGUGACACCUUGAUCACCAUCGUAGAAUCGUUGUCGUCUCACCAAUCUUAUGAUUCCACGACUAUCGCUACCGCUUAGUGAUAAAGUAAAGCAUUACAGCGCAAUUGCAUUGCAUACAAUAAAGCGACAACCAUAUGGCUCCUGCCAGUUGCCGAUAACUCGGUUACAAAACAUGAUCAUCUCAUACAAUAAAAUUUAGCAUCAUGUCUUGACCAUAUCACAUCACAACAUGCCCUGCAAAAACAAGUUAGACGUCCUCUACUUUGUUGUUGCAAGUUUUACGUGGCUGCUACGGGCUUAGCAAGAACCGUUCUUACCUACGCAUCAAAACCACAACGAUAGUUUGUCAAGUUGUUGCUGUUUUAACCUUCGCAAGGACCGGGUGUAGCCACACUUGGUUCAACUAAAGUUGGAGAAACUGACACCCGCCAGCCACCUGUGUGCAAAGCAUGUCGGUAGAACCAGUCUCGCGUAAGCGUAUGCGUAAUGUCGGUCCGGGCCGCUUCAUCCAACAAUACCGCCGAACCAAAGUAUGACAUGCUGGUCAGCAGUAUGACUUAUAUCACCCACAACUCAAUUGUGUUCUACUCGUGCACAACAUCAACGCAUAAAACCUAGGCUCGGAUGCCACUCUUGGGGAACAUAGUAAUUUCAAAAAAUAUUUCCUACGCACACGCAAGAUCAUGGUGAUGCAUAGCAACGAGAGGGGAGAGUGAUGUCUACGUACCCUCAUAGACCGGCAAUGGAAGCGUUGACACAACAUAGAGGAAGUAGUCGUACGUCUUCCCGAUCCGACCGAUCCAAAUACCGAACGUACGACACCUCCGAGUUCUGCACACGUUCAACUUGGUGACGUCCCUCGAGCUCCGAUCCAACAAAAUGUUGAGGGAGAGUUUCGUCAGCACGACAACAUGAUGACGGUGAUGAUGUUCUAGCGACGUAGGGCUUCGCCUAAGCACCGCUACGAUAUGACCGAGGUGGAAUAUGGUGGAAGGGGGCACCGCACACGGCUAAGGAAUGAUCACGAGAAUCAACUUGUGUGUCAUGGGGUGCCCCCUUGCCUCAGUAUAUAAAGGAGGGAGAGCGGGAGGUGCAGUCGGCCCUAUGGGUGCGCCUGGAGGAGUCCUACUCCAACCGGGAGUAGGACUCCCCCCUCUUGCCUUGUUAGAAAAGGAAGGAGGAAGGGAGAAAGAGGAAAGGGGGGCGCCGCCCCCCCUUCGUUGUCCUAUUCGGACUAGGGGGGGAGGGGGCGCGAGCCUGCCCUGGCCGGCCCUCCUCUUCUCCCUUAUGGCCCAUGUAGGCCCAAUAACCCCCGAGGGGGUUCCGGUAACCCCCCGGUACUCCGGUAAAAUCUCGAUUUCACCCGGAACGUUUCCGAUUUCCAAAUAUAGGCUUCCAAUAUAUCAAUCUUUAUGUCUCGAUCAUUUCGAGACUCCUCGUCAUGUCCGUGAUCACAUCCGGGACUCCGAACAACUUUUGGUACAUCAAAACAAAAAAAAACCUAAUUACGAUCGUCACCGAACUUUAGGUGUGCGGACCCUACGGGUUCGAGAACUAUGUAGACAUGACCGAGACACGUCUCCGGUCAAUAACCAAUAGCGGAACCUGGAUGCUCAUAUUGGCUCCAACAUAUUCUACGAAGAUCUUUAUCGGUCAGACCGCAUAACAACAUACGUUGUUCCCUUUGUCAUGGGUAUGUUACUUGCCCGAGAUUUGAUCGUCGGUAUCUCAAUACCUAGUUCAAUCUCGUUACCGGCAAGUCUCUUUACUCGUUCCGUAAUACAUCAUCCCGCAACUAACUUAUUAGUUGCAAUGCUUGCAAGGCUUGAGUGAUGUGCAUUACCGAGAGGGCCCAGAGAUACCUCUCCGACAAUCGGAGUGACAAAUCCUAAUCUCAAAAUACGCCAACCCAACAAGUACCUUCGGAGACACCUGUAGAGCACCUUUAUAAUCACCCAGUUACGUUGUGACGUUUGGUAGCACACAAAGUGUUCCUCCAAUAAACGGGAGUUUCAUAAUCUCAUAGUCAUAGGAACAUGUAUAAGUUAUGAAGAAAGCAAUAGCAACAAACUAAACGAUCAAGUGCUAACCUAACGGAAUGGGUCAAGUCAAUCACAUCAUUCUCCUAAUGAUGUGAUCCCGUUAAUUAAAUGACUACUCAUGUCUAUGGUUAGGAAACAUAACCAUCUUUGAUCAAUGAGCUAGUCAAGUAGAGGCAUACUAGUGACACUCUGUUUUUGUCCAUGUAUUCACACAUGUAUUAUGUUUCCGGUUAAUACAAUUCUAGCAUGAAUAAUAAACAUUUAUCAUGAUAUAAGGAAAUAAAUAAUAACUUUAUUAUUGCCUCUAGGGCAUAUUUCCUUCAAUUUCUACACAAUAUGUUCCCCUUUGAGAGGUUCAUGGGAGUCCUAAAGAAAUAUGUCCGUAACCGCGCUAGGCCAGAAGGAAGCAUCUCCAUGGGCCAUCAAACAGAGGAUGUUAUCGGGUUUUGUGUUGACUUCAUUCCUGGCCUUAAGAAGAUAGGUCUCCCUAAAUCGUCGUAUGAGGGGAGACUGACUGGAAAAGGCACUCUUGGAAGUGAGUCAAUAAUAUGCAGGGACGGAUAUUCUUGGUCUCGAGCACACCACACAGUUCUACAGAACUCUAUCUUGGUGACCCCGUAUGUCGAUGAAUGCUACAUCUCGAGCUAGCGUUGGUUUUCCCUAAAGAGGAGGGGGUGAUGCAGCACAGUAGUGUAAGUAUUUCCCUCAGUUUUUGAGAACCAAGGUAUCAAUCCAGUAGGAGGUCACGCGCAAGUCCCUCGUACUUGCACAAAACGGUAGCAACUCGCAACCAAUGCUUAGGGGUUGUCAAUCCCUUCACGGUCACUUACGAGAGUGAGAUCUGAUAGAGAUAAUAUUUUUGGUAUUUUUGGUAUAAAGAUGCAAAGUGAAAAGUGAAAGCAAAACAAGUAAAAUAAAGUAAUGGAGAUUGAUAUGAUGAGAAUAGACCCGGGGGCCAUAGGUUUCACUAGUGGCUUCUCUCAAGAGCAUAGAUAUUCUACGGUGGGUGUACUGUUGAGCAAUUGAUAGAAUUGAGCAUAGUUAUGAGGUUAUCUAGGUAUGAUCAUGUAUAUAGGCACCACGUCCGUGACAAGUAGACCGACUCCUGCCUGCAUCUACUACUAUUACUCCACUCAUCGACCGCUAUCCAGCAUGCAUCUAGAGUAUUAAGUUAAAAACAGAUUAACGCCUUAAGCAAGAUGACAUGAUGUAGAGGAAUAAAUUCAUGCAAUAUGAUAAAUACCCCAUCUCGUUAUCCUCGAUGGCAACAAUACAAUACGUGCCUUGCAACUCUUUCUGUCACUGAGUAAGGACACCGCAAGAUUGAACCCAAAGCUAAGCACUUCUCCCAUUGCCAGAACUACCAAUCUAGUUGGCCAAACCAAACGGAUAAUUCGAAGAGACUUGCAAAGAUAACUCAAUCAUACAUAAAAGAAUUCAGAGAAGAUUCAAAUAUUAUUCAUAGAUAAGUUGGAUCAUAAACCCACAAUUCAUCGGUCUCAACAAACACACUGCAAAAAGAAGAUUACAUCGAAUAGAUCUCCACGAGAGAGGGGGAGAACAUUGUAUUGAGAUCCAAAAAGGGAGAAGAAGCCAUCUAGCUACUAGCUAUGGACCCGAAGGUCUGAAGUAAACUACUCACACUUCAUCGGAAGGGCUAUGGUGUUGAUGUAGAAGCCCUCCGUGAUGGAUGCCCUCUCCGGCGGAGCUCCGGAACAGGCCCCAAGAUGGGAUCUCGUGGAUACAGGCAGUUGCGGCGGUGGAAUUAGGUUUUUGGCUCCGUCUUUGGUCUAUUGGGGGUACGUAGGUAUAUAUAGGAGGAAGGAACACGUCGGUGGUGCUCCGAGGGGCCCACUAGGCAGGGGGACGCGCCCACGGGGGCGCCCUCCACCCUCGUGACCUCCCCGAAAACUUCUUGGAGUAGGGUCCAAGUCUCCUGGAUCACGUUCGGUGAGAAGAUCACGUUCCCGAAGGUUUCAUUCCGUUUGGACUCCGUUUGAUAUUCUGUUUACUCGAAAUACUGAAAUAGGCAAAAAACAGCAAUUCUGGGCUGGGCCUCCGGUUAAUAGGUUAGUCCCAAAAAUAAUAUAAAAGUGGAAAAUAAAGCCCAAUAUAGUCCAAAACAGUAGAUAAAGUAGCAUGGAGCAAUCAAAAAUUAUAGAUACGUUGGAGACGUAUCAGGCAUCCCCAAGCUUAAUUCCUGCUCAUCCUCGAGUAGGUAAAUGAUAAAAAGAGAUUUUUUGAUGCGGAGUGAUACUUUGGCAUAAUUUCAAUGUAAAUCUUCUUAAUCAUGGUAUGAAUAUUCAGAUCCGAAAGGUUCAAGACAAAAGUUCAUAUUGACAUAAAAAUGAUAAUACUUCAAGCAUACUAAUCAAACAAUUAUGUCAUCUCAAAAUAACAUGGCCAAAGGAAGUUCAUCCCUACAAAAUCAUAUAGUUAGGCUAUGCUUCAUUUUCGUCACACAAAGAUGUUCCCAACUUCUAUACCCCCGAUGACAAGCCAAGCAAUUGUUUCAUACUCAAAUAAUCUCAAACUUUUUCAACCUUCACGCAAUACAUGAGUGCGAGCCAUGGACAUAGCACUAUGGGUGGUAUAGAAUAUGAUGAUGGGGAUUGUGUGGAGAAGACAAAAAAGGAGAAAGUCUCACAUCAACGAGGCUAAUCAAUGAGCUAUGGAGAUGCCCAUCAAUUGAUGUUAAUGCAAGGAGUAGGGAUUCCCAUGCAACGGAUGCACUAGAGCUAAGAAUGCUCAACAAAAGAAAACUAAUGGGUGUGCAUCCAACUUGCUUGCUCAUGAAGACCUAGGGCAUUUUGAGGAAGCCCAUCGUUGGAAUAUACAAGCCAAGUUCUAUAAUGAAAAAUUCCCACUAGUAUGAACAAGACAAAUUAUGAGACUCACUAUAUGAAGAACAAGGUGCUACUUUGAAGCACAAGUGUGGAAAAAGAGAUAGUAGCAUUGCCCUUUUUAUUUUCUCCUUCUUUUUUUUGGGCCUUUCUUUUUUUCUUUUUGGCCUUUCUCUUUUUUUUGAUUGGGCAAUACUCUAAUAAUGAUGAUCAUCACACUUCUAUUGAUUACAACAUAAUGAUUACAACUCGAUACUAGAAUAAGAUAUGACUCUAUAUGAAUGCCUCCGGCAGUGUAUCGGGAUGGUGCAAUGAAUCAAGAGUGUCAUGUAUGAAAAAUAAUGCAUGCUGGCUUUGCCACAAAUACGAUGUCAACUACAAGAUCAUGCAAUGGCAAUAUGACAAAAGUAAAGCAUGUCAUGAUGAUGAUGAUGAUGAUGAUGGAAGUUGCAUGGCAAUAUAUCUCGGAAUGGCUAUGGAAAUGCCAUGAUAGGUAGGUAUGGUGGCUGUUUUGAGGAAGAUAUAGGGAGGUUUAUGUGUGAAAGAGCGUAUCAUAUCACGGGGUUUGGAUGCACCGGCGAAGUUUGCACCAACUCUCAAUGUGAGAAAGGGCAAUGCACGGUACCGAAGAGGCUAGCAAAUGGCGGAAAGGUAAAAGUGCGUAUAAUCCAUGGACUCAACAUUAGUCAAAAGAACUCAUAUACUUAUUGCAAAAAUUUAGAAGUCAUCAAAAAUCAAGUACUACGUGCAUGCUCCUAGGGGGAUAGAUUGGUAGGAAAAGACCAUCGCUCGUCCCCGACCGCCACUCAUAAGGAUGCACAAGCCAGGUACACUUCAUGCUUCAAAUUUGUUACACAACUUUAACCAUACGUGCAUGCUACGGGACUUGCUAACUUCAACACAAGUAUUUCUCAAAUUCACAACUACUCAACUAGCACGACUAUGAUAUUAUCACCUCCAUAUCUCAAAAUAAAUAUCAAGCAUCAAACUUAUCUUAGUAUUCAACCCACUAAAAAGAAAGUUUCACAUAUCUUGAAUACCAAGUAUAUUAACAAUAAGCAAAUUACCAUGCUAUUAACGACUCUCAAAAUAAUCUAAGUGAAGCAUGAGAGAUCAAGUUUCUUUAAAACAAACCACCACCGUGCUCUAAAAGAUCUAAGUGAAGCACUAGAGCAAAAAUUAUCACGCUCAAAAAUAUAUAAGUGAAGCACAUAGAGUAAACUAUCAAGCUCAAAAGAUAUAAGUGAAGCACAUAGAGUAUUCUAACAAAUUCCAAUUCAUACAUGGCUAUCUCAAAAGGUGUGUACAGCAAGGAUGAUUGUGGUAGACUAAAAAGCAAAGACACAAAUAAUACAAGACGCUCCAAGCAAAACACAUAUCAUGUGGUGAAUAAAAAUAUAGCUCCAAGUAAAUUACCGAUUGAAGUGGACGAAAGAGGGAUGCCUUCCGGGGCAUCCCCAAGCUUUGACUUUUUUGUGUCCUUGUAUUAUCUUGGGGGUGCCAUGAGAAUCCCCAAGCUUAGGCUCUUGCCACUCCUUGUUCCAUAAUCCAUCAAAAGAAUUCACCCAAAACUUGAAAAUUUCACAACACAAAACUCAAUAGAAAUCUCGUGAGCUCCGUUAGAGAAAGAAAACAAAAGACUACUUUAAGAUACUGUAGUGAACUUGUUCUUUAUUUGUAUUGGUGUUAAACCUACUGUAUUCCAACUUCUCUAUGGUUUAUAAACUAUUUUACUAGCCAUAGAUUCAUCAAAAUAAGCAAACAACACACGCAAAACAGAAUCUGUCAAAAACAGAACAGUCUGUAGUAAUCUGUUACUAACGCAAACUUCUGGAACCCAAACAAUUCUACCAAAAUUAGACGACCUGGGAAAUUUGUUUAUUGAUCAGCAGCAAUUGGAAUCACUAUUUUAUCACGUUCUGGUGAUUUUUGACAAUUCGGGCACUGAGCGCAAAGAUUCUGGAAAUUACAGCAAGAUCAAAUAACUAUCUUCCAAGAAGAUCUAAUAGGUUUAACUUGGCACAAACACUAAUUAAAAGAUAAAACCAUAUCUAAACAGAAUCUAGAUGGAUUAUUUAUUCCUAAACAGAACCAAAAACAAAAAACACAAAAUAAAAUUGGGUUGCCUCCCAACAAGCGCUAUCGUUUAACGCCCCUAGCUAGGCAUAAAAGCAAGGAUAGAUCUAGGUAUUGCCAUCUUUAAUUUUCAACUUUUUAGCGGAGUCAUGCUCAAAUCCGGGGGGUUCUUCCCUCUUCCCUUCAUACUCAGAAAUUUUUAGAUCUAAAGAAUCCAACCGUUUAUUGCAAAGAGUAAUCAACAUAUUCAUACGGUUAAGAUUUCCGCUAUUAUUUUUAAGAGGCUCAAGAGACUUUUGUAAAAUCUUUGUUACUUCGCAAAUCUUCUCAAACACUUGGGUUUCUUCCUGGGUAGGAUGAGAUCCUCCCUUUUGGGGUGGUGUUCCCACUAUUCCCUCUAUAAUCUCAUGCGCAAUACCGGGAUCAAUAUUAAUGAAAUUUGCCUUGGCCAUGCAAUCCAAGAGUUGUCUAUGCGUCAUGUUUAACCCAACAUAAAAAUUGUGAAGAAGAAUUCUAAAGUUCACCUCUAGGGUGCACUUACGAUAAGAUUCCAUCAUCCUAUACCAAGCAUCUUUUAAGUUUUCUCCUUGCCGUUGCUUGAAGUGAAGAACUUCAAACUCGGGAGACAUAGGAGUGGAUAAGGAAUUCGACAUAGCGACAGGUAAGCAAACUAACACACGAGCAAACAAAAGGCAAAGGGAAAAAGAGGAGGAGAUUGGGAAAGAGAGGGCGAAUAAAACGGCAAGGGUGAAGUGGGGGAGAGGAAAACGAGAGGCAAAUGGCAAAUAAUGUAAUGCGAGAGAUAGAGAUUGUGAUGGGUACUUGGUAUGUUGACUUUUGCGUAGGCUUCCCUGGCAACGACGCCAGAGGCUCGUUGACGGGAGAGUAAAUCUUGACUUGACUUGGCGUAGGCCUCCCCGGCAACGGUGCCAGAAAUCCUUCUUGCUACGUCUCGAGCUAGCGUUGGUUUUCCCCGAAGAGGAGGGGGUGAUGCAGCACAGUAGCGUAAGUAUUUCCCUCAGUUUUUGAGAACCAAGGUAUCAAUCCAGUAGGAGGUCACGCGCAAGUCCCUCGUACCUGCACAAAACGGUAGCAACUCGCAACCAACGCUUAGGGGUUGUCAAUCCCUUCACGGUCACUUACGAGAGUGAGAUCUGAUAGAGAUAAUAUUUUUGGUAUUUUUGGUAUAAAGAUGCAAAGUGAAAAGUAAAAGCAAAACAAGUAAAAUAAAGUAAUGGAGAUUGAUAUGAUGAGAAUAGACCCGGGGGCCAUAGGUUUCACUAGUGGCUUCUCUCAAGAGCAUAGAUAUUCUACGGUGGGUGAACAAAUUACUGUUGAGCAAUUGAUAGAAUUGAGCAUAGUUAUGAGGUUAUCUAGGUAUGAUCAUGUAUAUAGGCAUCACGUCCGUGACAAGUAGACCGACUCCUGCCUGCAUCUACUACUAUUACUCCACUCAUCGACCACUAUCCAGCAUGCAUCUAGAGUAUUAAGUUAAAAACAGAGUAACGCCUUAAGCAAGAUGACAUGAUGUAGAGGAAUAAAUUCAUGCAAUAUGAUAAAUACCCCAUCUUGUUAUCCUCGAUGGCAACAAUACAAUACGUGCCUUGCAACUCUUUCUGUCACUGAGUAAGGACACCGCAAGAUUGAACCCAAAGCUAAGCACUUCUCCCAUUGCAAGAACUACCAAUCCAGUUGGCCAAACCAAACGGAUAAUUCAAAGAGACUUGCAAAGAUAACUCAAUCAUACAUAAAAGAAUUCAGAGAAGAUUCAAAUAUUAUUCAUAGAUAAGUUGGAUCAUAAACCCAAAAUUCAUCGGUCUCAACAAACACACCGCAAAAAGAAGAUUACAUCGAAUAGAUCUCCACGAGAGAGGAGGAGAACAUUGUAUUGAGAUCCAAAAAGAGAGAAGAAGCCAUCUAGCUACUAGCUAUGGACCCGAAGGUCUGAAGUAAACUACUCACACUUCAUCGGAAGGGCUAUGGUGUUGAUGUAGAAGCCCUCCGUGAUGGAUGCCCUCUCCGGCGAAGCUCCGAAACAGGCCCCAAGAUGGGAUCUCGUGGAUACAGGAAGUUGUGACGGUGGAAUUAGGUUUUUGGCUCCGUCUUUGGUCUAUUGGGGGUACGUAGGUAUAUAUAGGAGGAAGGAGCACGUCGGUGGAGCUCCGAGGGGCCCACGAGGCAGGGGGGCGCGCCCAGGGGGGGCGCCCUCCACCCUCGUGACCUCCCCGGAAACUUCUUGGAGUAGGGUCCAAGUCUCCUGGAUCACGUUCGGUGAGAAGAUCACGUUCCUGAAGGUUUCAUUCCGUUUGGACUCCGUUUGAUAUUCUGUUUCCUCGAAAUACUGAAAUAGGCAAAAAAACAUCAAUUCUGGGUUGGGCCUCCGGUUAAUAGGUUAGUCCCAAAAAUAAUAUAAAAGUGGAAAAUAAAGCCCAAUAUAGUCCAAAACAGUAGAUAAAGUAGCAUGGAGCAAUAAAAAAUUAUAGAUACGUUGGAGACGUAUCAAUGAACACAAGAACAGUCUGCGCUCCAAACACCCGGAGCAGUGCGACGACUGGAUUACAUGUGAACACAUCAGGACUUUCAGCAGUUGGUUGGAAACACGUCUCAGAGGUGACAACACUGUUUGUGAUGAGCUAUACUUGUUGUCUAGGGGACCAUCUUUGACUGUAUUGACUUACAAAGGAUACGAGAUAAAUGGGAAUACAUUUUACACGAUCGCCCAAGAUCAAAAGAGCACCAACCAAAACAGCGGUGUCCGCUUUGAUGCAGCAACCGAGAGCGGAAAGGACACAUAUUAUGGUUACAUAGUGGACAUAUGGGAACUUGACUACGGACAUGAUUUUAAGGUCCCUUUGUUUAAGUGCAAAUUGGUCGAUCUGUUAGGAGGCGGGGUACAUGUAGACCCAUAGUACGGAAUGACAACAGUGGGUUUGAAAAAUCUUGGGUACACUGACGAACCGUUCAUCCUAGCCAAUGAUGUGGCACAGGUUAUCUAUGUGAAGGACAUGUCUACCAAACCGAGAAAAAGAAAAGAUAAGGAAGCGAAUACAUCAUACGAUGAGCCAAAGCGCCACAUAGUUCUUUCAGGAAAAAGGGACAUCCUGGGAGUGGAGGGCAAGACAGACAUGUCUGAAGAUUAUGAAAAGUUUCAUGAAAUUCCUCCCUUCAAUGUCAAGGCUGACCCAAGCAUCCUGAUAAACGAUGAAGAUUAUCCAUGGUUACGGCGCAAUAAGCAAAUGACACAAGCAAAGAAAAAGUGAAGACUUUCUCCCGCAACUAUUAUGAUGAUACCAUGCCAACUUUGUAACACACAAGUAUGCCAUGCCAACUUUUUCAGAGUUCAUUUGAAAACUAUGAAUUUAGGUUGAAUUUUCUCUAUAGGUGCAUCUAUGUUCAGUUUUUAGUAAAGUUAAUCACAAACUUGUGAUUCACACAAAUUUCAAAGAAUUCAAAUUUGAAAACUAAUGGCACUAACAGAAAGUUUUUAAUUUUUCUAAAACUAAUGGCACUAACAGAAAGUUUAUAAUUUUGCUGACCUAAAAGCAAAAAGGAUUAAAAAAUAAAGCAAAAAACAGAAGAAAAUAAAUAAUAUAGAAAACAAAACAAAAAACUAGAAAAAAAUAAAAAAAUAGCAACAAUAAGUAUUUUGUUGUAAGUAGAAACAAAAUAAAAUAAAUAAAGCAACAAAGAAAACAAAAAAACAAAAAAAGUGUUUUCAAAUUUGAAAACUAAUGGCACUAACAGAAAGUUUAUAAUUUUUCUAAAACUAAAAGCAAAAAGAAUUAAAAAAUGAAGCAAAAAACAAAAGAAAAUAAAUAAUGCAGAAAACAAAACAAAAAAACUGGAAAAAAAUAGGGCUCGCCACUGGCCCAUGACCAUUAGUCCCGGUUUGUGCUACAAACCGGGACUAUAGGGUUGUUCCUCGUUGCACUCAGAGUUUAGUCCCACCUCGCCAACCGAAGGGCGCCCACACCGGUUUAUAAGCCCGUCCCUCUCUGCCUUGUUGAGCUCCUCUCAAAGUGAAAAUAGAUGCCCCUAUACAGGGAAUUUGACCUAAAUUCAUAAUGAAUUUCUAUGAAAUUCAUAGAAAUUGAUUAUGAAUUUAGGUUGAAUUUUCUCUAUAGGUGCAUCUAUGUUCAUUUUUUUACUAAAGUUAAUCACAAACUUGUGAUUCACACAAAUUUUAAAAAAUUGAAAUUUAAACUAUUCAAAUUUUAAAACUAAUGCCACUAACAGAAAUUUUAUAAUUUUUCUAAAACUAAUGGCACUAACAGAAAGUUUAUAAUUUUGCUGACAUAAAAGCAAAAAUAAAUAAAAAAUAAAGCAAAAAAUAGAAGAAAAUAAAUAAUGCAGAAAACAAAACAAAAAAUCUGGAAAAAAAAUAGCAACAAUAAGUAUUUUUUUUGUAAAUAGAAACAAAAUAAAAUAAAUAAAGCAACAAAGAAAACAAAAAAAACUAAAAAAGUGUUUUCAAAUUCGAAAACUAAUGGCACUNNNNNNNNNNAAAAAAGUAGCAACAAUAAGUAUUUUGUUGUAAGUAGAAACAAAAUAAAAUAAAUAAAGCAACAAAGAAAAAACAAAAAAUUGUUUUCAAAUUUGAAAACUAAUGGCACUAACAGAAAGUUCAUAAUUUUUCUAAAACUAAAAGCAAAAAAGAAUUAAAAAAUAAAGCAAAAAAUAAAAGAAAAUAAAUAAUGCAGAAAACAAAACAAAAAAACUGGAAAAAAUAGCAACAAUAAGUAUUUUGUUGUAAGUAGAAACAAAAUAAAAUAAAUAAAGCAACAAAGAAAAAAAGUGCCACCUAGUGGGCCCCCACGGCCUGAAUACGACUAGAAACCCUACCAUGGGCCAGGAUUCAGGCCCGCAGGUGGCCCAGUAGGCCCACAGGCACACAGCGCAGGGUUAGGCCCGAAAGCCUUCAUUUGAGAGGAGCUCGAGAGGGAAGGCGCAUCAGCGCUUAUAAACCACUCUCGAGCUCUCUCAGCUAGCGAGGUGGGACUAAAGUUUUGGCGCGGGGCAGCACAACGCCUUUGGUCCCGGUUGGUGCCAGCAACNNNNNNNNNNNNNNNNNNNNNNNNNNNNNNNNNNNNNNNNNNNNNNNNNNNNNNNNNNNNNNNNNNNNNNNNNNNNNNNNNNNNNNNNNNNNNNNNNNNNNNNNNNNNNNNNNNNNNNNNNNNNNNNNNNNNNNNNNNNNNNNNNNNNNNNNNNNNNNNNNNNNNNNNNNNNNNNNNNNNNNNNNNNNNNNNNNNNNNNNNNNNNNNNNNNNNNNNNNNNNNNNNNNNNNNNNNNNCGCCCUCGCCCGCGCCCUCGCCCGACACCGUCGCGCCGCGUCGUCGUCCCCUGCCCCGACACGCGUCGCCCCUGCCCCGUCGCCAUCAUCGUGCCGCCGUCCCCUACCCCAACGCGUCGCUGCCUCUGUGAGCACCGCGCGUCUGCCGCCCCCGUGCAAUUUUUUUAAUUAUACAUGCUGUUUUUUACAUGUUUUUAGAUUUUCAUAUAUAUAUGUAUGUAUGUAUUUUUUAGAUAUAUGUAUUUUUUGAUGUAUGUUCAUAUAUGUAUCUAUGUAUUUUUUACAUGUUUUUUGUAUGUAUGUAUGUAUUUUUUCAAUUUUAAUGAUGUUUUAAAAAUACAUAUAUGCAAAAGUUAGAUUUUUAAUUAGAAAAGUUUUUCCUACAUAUGUUCUCUGAUUUAGUACAUUUUAGGUUAGUUUCAUUUUUUAAAAAGUUUUAUAUAUUUAGGAAGAAGGAAUAGAAGGAAGAAGAAGGAAGAAAAGGUUUUAUAUAUGAGGGUCGAGAGGGGGUCGACGGUCGCCGAGGGGUCGAGGGUCGAGAGGGGGUCUAGGGUCGCCGAGGGGUCGAGGAUCGUCGAACAUGAGAUGAAGAAGAGGAUAAAAGAAGAAGAGGAAGAAGAAAAAAAAAGAGGAGAAGAAAGAAUAGAGGAGUUCUCUUCCUCUUUUUUUUAUCGGGAACGAGGGUCGCCAAGCGGUAGAGGAAACCCUAAAUAGCAAGUACGUCAGUGUGAGAUACAUGUGGCCGUCGGUGUCGGACNNNNNNNNNNNNNNNNNNNNNNNNNNNNNNNNNNNNNNNNNNNNNNNNNNNNNNNNNNNNNNNNNNNNNNNNNNNNNNNNNNNNNNNNNNNNNNNNNNNNNNNNNNNNNNNNNNNNNNNNNNNNNNNNNNNNNNNNNNNNNNNNNNNNNNNNNNNNNNNNNNNNNNNNNNNNNNNNNNNNNNNNNNNNNNNNNNNNNNNNNNNNNNNNNNNNNNNNNNNNNNNNNNNNNNNNNNNNNNNNNNNNNNNNNNNNNNNNNNNNNNNNNNNNNNNNNNNNNNNNNNNNNNNNNNNNNNNNNNNNNNNNNNNNNNNNNNNNNNNNNNNNNNNNNNNNNNNNNNNNNNNNNNNNNNNNNNNNNNNNNNNNNNNNNGUGUCGGACACUACAUCCACGUCCCACAAGUGACGCGGGCUUCGACGCCCACGUCACUUGUGGGACGUGGAUACAGUGUCCGACACCGACGGCCACAUGUAUCUCACACCCACGAUACUUGCUAUUUACGGUUUCCUCUACCGCUUGGCGACCCUCGUUCCCGAUAAAAAAAGGAAGAAGAAGAAAAAAAAGAGGAGAAGAAAGAAUAGAGGAGUUCUUCUUCCUCUUCUUUUUUUAUCCUUGAAGCGUUGUCGAGGCCACCCCAAACCCUAGAGAAGCAGCGUCGAGGCCACUAAUUAAUAUUAGUUCUACGUUUGCCACUAAUAUAUCCAUCUAUCAUGUUUGAAUAAUAAUUGCCAUGUUAUAAAUAUUUGUAGAAACUAUGGACACCGCCCGAGACGAAGUACAAGCAGAGUUGUUGGGGGACAUAAUCGCACAAGGAAGUGAUGUUGUCUGCUCGUUGUUUCUCAAUGACAUCGAUGGUCUGGAAGCAGCUGGCUAUGAUUAUGAUGGCUCCGGUGACCCAAUGCCGGUGCAAGAAGGAGACUGUGAGGACGGCUCCGGUGACCCAAUGCCGGUGCAAGAAGGAGACCGUGAUGACGUCUCCGGUGACCAAAUCGAGUCCGGCCAGGUAUAUAUAUUAGUUAAGCCUGUGCUGACGAGCUAAUUGAUGCAUUCAUUCUUUUGGUAUGUACACAUAUUAAUUAAGUCUUUGUUCUUUUUUCUAGCCCUCCGGAUCGAGCAUAACUUCGGUAAAGAGACGAGGCCCAAAGAAAAAGUUGAGCUCGGAUGAAAGGUUUGAGAUCAUAGCAAUCGCGCCCGACGGCCAACCGAUUGAACCCAUCUGGACAAAGAGCGCAUUUGUUGCUCAGUGCGGGGUUCUGGUUAGGGACAAGAUCCCGAUCAGCAUCCAGCAAUGGUUAAAGCCGGCUACAGAAGACCCUGAGGUGUCUUAUGUCAAUGAUAUGUAGAAAAAUGAUCUUUGGACUGAGUUGAAGUCAAAUUUCACCCUACCGCCAGAGGAUGAUCCGGAGAAGCCAGUUAAAGAGCAAUUAAUCAAGUCUUUUGCUCUUAAGAGGAUGGCAGAACUAUUCAGGAGGUGGAAGAAAGAGCUAAAUAAGUUUGUCGAUAAAAAAGAGACACUAGAAUUCAAGGGAAGAUAUGAGAAGAUCAGAGAUCACUGGCCCGCAUUUGUGGCCCACAAGACAUCGAAAAAGAGUAAGAAGAUGUCGGCGACAAACAAGCAAAAUGCUGUGAAGAAGAAGCAUCACCAUCGCACGGGGUCAGGUGGCUACCUCGUAGCCCGGCCUAAGUGGGCCAAGACUGAGAAUGAUCUGGUUGAUAAAGGGAUCGAACCAGAGACAAUUAACUGGCCAUACCGUUGUCGGACUUGGUUCUUCGGGGCUGGCGGAACCUUGGACCCUGUAUCAGGGAAGUGCAUUUGGACGGACGAGCGAAUGUAAAUACCAGUCAAGAGGCUUAAGCACUAUAUCGAAGCAGCGCAGCAAGGGACGUUCGUUCCAGACAGAGAGAACGACGAGCUCACAAUGGCCCUCGGGAAUCCUGAGCACCCUGGACGGACACGAGGCACGCCAGGCUCCAUUCCGUGGAAGGCUGGGUUUCCGGACGCAGACAGUUACAAAUGCCACAUGAGGAGGAAGAAAGUGGAGUAGACCCAACUGCAGGCGCUGCACGCUAGGGUACAAGCGAUAGAGGAACGAGAAGCAAAUCGCAGCAAACGAACUGCCCCGCCAUCUCAGCGGAGAAGCAGCGUGGCUUCCACCGAGCUGCUUUAGCCGGAGCAUGUCUUGACGGCUCCUGCCAGCUACCCCGUGGAUGCUAUCAUGGAGUCUCAAAAUUACCACCUUAUGACACAAUGGAUUAAUAUGAAGGUCAAGGCGGCUGUUGGCUCUGUUUUUCCUACUGAACCCGGUGCAACUUUUCACUACCGGCCGAUUCCAGAAGGAUAUGCUAGGGUGAUGGUCGAUGAAAUAACGGAGGGAUUUGAGGACCUCCAGCUUGACCACCCUACCGGUGAAGGGGAGACUCGGCUGGGUUCUGCUCUGAAGACUCCAUGCCUAUGGCGGAAGGAGCUCAUCAACCUUCCGAACUAGACGCCUCCGCCUCAUCCUCCUCCUCCGGCGAGUCAGGGCACUCCGCCUCCUCCACCGCCUCCUCCUCCGGCGAGUGACAAUCAGGGCACUCGGCCGGCUCCUUCUCCGGCGCGUGGCGGCACUUCGCCUCCUUCUCCGCCUGCGCCGGCGCGCCCGAGCAGCCAGCCUCCUCCUUCUCUGCCUCGUCAGCAAGGGCGGAAGAGACCCGCCGCCGCUCCGGCUGCUCCGGCACGUCGUAGUCCUUCUCCUCCGCCUCGUAAGCAAGUAAAGAAGACAGCCGCUCCGUCUGCUCUACCAGCGUCUAGCAGUACAACCAAAGGCGGGAGGACAUACAGAUUCGGUCCUUCUCUGAAGACUCCAGAGAAGUUACCAUACAAGAGGACCCCGGAGGAGAACGCCGAGAUCGCGCGAGAAGAAGUGAGGAACUUCUUUGAAGGGGUGAAAGCAAAGAAACAUCCACCUCCGGAGGAGAAGGUAGAUCCUGUGAAAGCGAAGCGCACUCUGGCUGCCCCGACAAAACCACCCAAGUCUCCGCCGAAAGGCAACUAUGAGCGCAUUAUUGGAAAGGCAUUUGCCGAAGCGGAGCGGUCGGGAAGUACUGUCAGUGAUCAAAGGCUGAAAGAACGACGAGCUGGGAAACAAAUUGUCCAGCUCGGCGAACAAGCGAAGCAAUUGUGCCCCCCGCUCAAGGUGCCUAGCGACAUCGUCGCUAAUGAUCCGAGGAUGGUGCCCGGUUAUAGCAAUCUUGGAGAUUACCUUCCCGACGAUGUACAUUAUGAUUUCAUGGAGGUGCAGAUACAAAGAUACGAGUACGGGAAGCCUCUCGUCAAAGAUGAAAGAUCUCUAUCAACGAUGAUGCGAAGAUUGCAUGAUUGGUACAUGAAAAUCUGCAGAGAGUCUGGGGGAGGAGUACUUUGUAUGUGAGAGUUAAAAAGGAGAAUGACCUCGUUGGAAUUGAACUGUUGCCUGUUCCAUUUGAGGAGUUCUUUCAGUUUUUCAAUCAAUUGGCCCUCGAUAAAGCAACAGUCACCUGCUACUGUCUGUAAGUAGUACUACUUCUGUCAUUAAGUCUCUCUAUAUAGCUCAGCUCUUUCAUUGCAUGUAUUUAUAAUUAUCCUCACUAUAUUAUGCAGAUUGAAGAUCGUCGAAUUGAAGAAAAGACAAAUCGGUGAUAUUGGGUUCAUUAACACAAAUCUCAUAGAUGCAACUUAGGUUAAAUUUCAUGCCACAGAUGCCGAGGCCAACUUGCUACGAUCGUUGGUAGUAAAUGAAAACAAAGAUAUAAUACUCUUUCCUUACAACUUCAAGUGAGUGUUACUGUCUUGUGCAUAUUCGGUUUCCCUUAUAUAUCAGUCAAGGUUAUAGUAAUGUAAUUGAUGAGUUAUGCAUGCGUGUGCAGUUUCCACUAUAUUCUCCUAGAGAUUAAGCUUGAGCAGGGACUAGUAACCGUCUUAGACUCGAGACGAAAAGAUCCCCAAGACUAUGCGGACAUGACUCAAAUGCUCGAGAAGUAAGUUAAAUCGAUCAUUAUCCACCAUAUCAGCAACUUUGUUCAUUUCCUGAUAUAUCAAUUAAUUGUUUUCUUUGUUUGGCAGGGUUUGGAGAAAAUUCACCAAAAAAGCUCCGGGACUGCCGAAGAAGCUGCAAUUUAGACACCCGAAAGUAAGUACUAUAGUAGCAUGUUCCGCGGAUCUCCUAGUGAUUCAAGCGCUAGUUUCAUCAAUACCAUUUGACAUUCUUGCUUAUCAGUUUGAUUGACCUCUAUUUCUUGUAAAGUGGUUGUGGCAGGAACAAGGGAAUGAUUUCUGUGGAUACUACGUUUGUGAGUCCAUCCGCCACACGACCUGUGAGCGGGGCUACUCUGACGAAAGAUAUGAAGUGCGUAAAUAACAACAUUCACAACUUUAUUUUAUUACCAUCAUUUGUGUUGAGUUUCAUUCAUUCAUAUAUAUAUAUAUAUAUAUAUAUAUAUAUAUAUAUAUAUAUAUAUAUAUAUAUAUAUAUAUAUAUAUGUGUGUAUGUAUGUAUUGACCCCCAUCUUCAAAUUAGAUGUUUCGGAAGCGGGAUGAUCUCCUAGCACCAGCUCGCAUGCGAGCAAUUCAAGAGGAAUUGGCGGCAUUCUUUCUUGACCACGUGAUCGCUGAAGACGGAGAAUACUAUGUGGACCAUGCGUCCGUAUGUUAGGAGAUUAUAUUUGUAAGAGAUAAUUNNNNNNNNNNNNNNNNNNNNNNNNNNNNNNNNNNNNNNNNNNNNNNNNNNNNNNNNNNNNNNNNNNNNNNNNNNNNNNNNNNNNNNNNNNNNNNNNNNNNNNNNNNNNNNNNNNNNNNNNNNNNNNNNNNNNNNNNNNNNNNNNNNNNNNNNNNNNNNNNNNNNNNNNNNNNNNNNNNNNNNNNNNNNNNNNNNNNNNNNNNNNNNNNNNNNNNNNNNNNNNNNNNNNNNNNNNNNNNNNNNNNNNNNNNNNNNNNNNNNNNNNNNNNNNNNNNNNNNNNNNNNNNNNNNNNNNNNNNNNNNNNNNNNNNNNNNNNNNNNNNNNNNNNNNNNNNNNNNNNNNNNNNNNNNNNNNNNNNNNNNNNNNNNNNNNNNNNNNNNNNNNNNNNNNNNNNNNNNNNNNNNNNNNNNNNNNNNNNNNNNNNNNNNNNNNNNNNNNNNNNNNNNNNNNNNNNNNNNNNNNNNNNNNNNNNNNNNNNNNNNNNNNNNNNNNNNNNNNNNNNNNNNNNNNNNNNNNNNNNNNNNNNNNNNNCUGACGCGUGGAUGCCUAUUGGUCCCGGUUGGUGCCACCAACCGGGACCAAAGGCCAUCCUGCCUGGGCUCCGCGCACAGGCCAUGUGGAGGCCCAUCUGUCCCGGUUCUGGACUGAACCGGGACUAAAGGGACAAGGCAUUAGUACCGACCCUUUAGUCCCGGUUCAGGAACCGGGACAAAAGGCCCAUUACGAACCGGGACAAUAGGCCCGUUUUCUACUAGUGAGAGCACCUUUAUGAUCACCCAGUUACGUUAUGACGUUUGGUAGCACACAAAAUGCUCCUCCGGUAAACGGGAGUUGCAUAAUCUCAUAGUCAUAGGAACAUGUAUAAGUCAUGAAGAAAGCAAUAACAAUAUAGUAAACGAUCGGGUGCUAAGCUAACGGAAUGGGUCAUGUCAAUCACAUCAUUCUCCUAAUGAUGUGACCCUGUUAAUCAAAUGACAACUGAUGUCUAUGGUUAGGAAACAUAACCAUCUUUGAUCAAUGGGCUAGUCAAGUAGAUGCAUACUAGUGACAAUCUGUUUUCUAUGUAUUCACACAUGUAUUAUGUUUCCGGUUAAUACAAUUCUAGCAUGAAUAAUAAACAUUUAUCAUGAUAUAAGGAAAUAAAUAAUAACUUUAUUAUUGCCUCUAGGGCAUAUUUCCUUCACUAACAACAUGCUAAAACCUUGGAUUACAUAGAACAUAAUGGGUGUGGUUGGGGGCAUGGUGUAGCUAAGGUGGUGAGAUUGUUUGACUGAAGAUUUACUGGUCUGGUAAGUGAUACAGAUUACCAUUAAACUCCUAUCUUUCUGUCGAUGGCAUGGCGGACCCUGCAGGUAACUACUCCUUUAUAUCAAUCUUUGAUUAUAUCUCUCAAGUUAACCUUGCAGUGUUAUUUGUUUGCUCCGUUCAAUAUAUAUUCCUCUCAUACGGACCUUGCAGUGUUAUUUGUUUGCUCCCUUCAAUAUAUGUCCCUCUCAUACAUGUUAUAGUGCUCCCAGAAAUUUAGAUAUCCCCUUGGGACCGCUGAUUGCUCCCUUUGACCCCCAUGGCAUCCGAGCUCUGAGAAAUUUUGAUUUCCCCUUGGGCCAUUCCUGAUACCUUCAUGGCUCUAUUUGUAAUCCUCAUCUAAUAUCUUGCUAAUCACUGUGAGGUUAUCCUAUAUGAUUUGCUGAUUUUUUUUUCUCAUGCCCUCUCUAAUUAUGUUCAUAGAUCAAUGAAUGUAUUAUUUGCCAUCCCAACAUGCAUGAUCAUUGUUUGUUCUUCCCGAUUGUUGUUGAAUUGUACUAUCUAAUUUUGUACAGGGCUAGUUUUCCAUAAUUUAUUUUUUCAUGCACAACAUUGAAACUAGAAAAUAAUUAAUUUAGAUUGUCGAGCAAUUACAGAGCACUACAAAUUGUUUUCGGCGCUAUAUGCUACACUGUACAUCAUGUUUAAAUUUUUCCUUCAAGUGGUCCAAGCAAUAGUGCAUCGCUUUACGAGGAGAUCUUUCAGCUCUACUCAUCGCCAAUUUUAAUGGUGUGGUUAUGAACCGAAGAAUUCAGAGUAAAUAUGAAUGUUCAAUUCUCCCAAGUGUUUUUAGUUACUUUUCCUAAAUUUGUUCUUCAUUUCAGUUUCUUACAAGAAUCAAGAAUGCCAAGGACAACUCAUCUUCUAAUUGUUGCUUGCUAGGAAUAGAAACGAUUUUAACAUCUGAGUAGGAUAUUUUUUAGACAAAGUAUUACGUACAACUUUAAGCCUUCAAGAAAUAGUUUUUUGCGGGUUCAAGAAAUAGUUAUCAUGCCAUUAAAAAUAGAUUAGUGAUACGCACACGAUACUAUGGACAAGAAUUUUGGAUGACAAACCAAUCAAGUCGUCCAUGCAAGACAAUAGACGGCCACUCAAGAUAGGACCAUUGUGCAAACUAUUUGCCGUGUGCACAACGGUUUUGUUAAAAAUGUUUUAUUUGUUUUGUUCUGUUUGUGUAAAGCACAACUUCCUUGGGUUCUCAGUACCCUCUCGUUAGGGCUUCCGCCUCCCGCUGCGGCGACGUAGUGUCGAGACAUCUUCCUCCGCCGCCGGUCUCCUCCCCUGAUUCCUCUCCGCUCGGGCUGCUCCUGGUCUUGGCGCGUGGGUUUCGGCGCGGUGAUUGGCGCUUGGAGUUUUUGUUUUCUGUCCUCUCUACGACCUGGGUCUAACCUAGGGCUCCCUAGGGUUUUCCACGGCUGAGAAGAAAGUUGGGUCCAUGGCGGCAGAUGAUGAUCUCGUGGGUAUGAUGCUAGAGUUGGGAAUAGAAGACGAGGAUCUGGAUGAUAUUGUCAUCGAGGAUGAAUUCCCGGAGCUGAACAAGGAUUCUGUCAGCUGGCUAGCUAUUGGCAGGGUUCACACUACGAAGGAAUUUGGGGACUUCUGGUUCUUCAAAAACAUGCGCAACGCAUGGGAUCUGGCGCAACAAGUCAAAUUCAGAUCAUUGGGUGAUAAUCUUUAUACCAUGCAAUUCUAUUGCCUUGGUGAUUGGGAUAAAGUGAUGGAGGGGGGGCCUUGGACUUUUCGAGGCAACCCUGUUCUGCUAGCCCCCUAUGAUGGCUUCUCAAAGCCAUCAUCCAUUGAUCUUCACAACUUUAGAAUCUGGAUACAAAUACAUGACCUCCCUGAUGGUUAUGAGCCUUUAGUUAAAUCCCUUGCAGGCAAGGUUGGGGAAUUUUAUUCCCUUGAUAAUAGAGGCCGGGACAUAGCAGGAAAUUAUUACCGGGCUAGGAUCACAUUGGAUGUCAGGAAAAAGCUCAAGAACCAUGUUUCGGUUGUAAAAAGGCAGAAAAGGUAGAUCUUCAAGGUGAAAUAUGAGCAGUUACCGGAUUGGUGUGCAGUCUGUGGGAUGAUUGGACACUUAUACACAGAACAUGGUGACGGUGUUCACCAUCCAUCAACAAUGAUUUUCAGAGAACUCCGUGCUACAUGGGGUUCAGGUGGCUCAGGUGGUCGUGGGCUUGACACACGAGCACCCGCUACAGAUGGUGUGACUAUAACCGAGGUUCAGGAAAAUAAAAGCAUGGAAAUAGACCCGAGUAAGGGAGCAGCGGUGGAGGAUGAUGCUACAGAUUCAGAGUCUAAUAGAAAACGUGCUUUGGCUGCUCACUCGGCUGCUGAUACACCUCCUCUUGCCACAAUUUCAAAGGGUCAGUUGUUACUAACUAAUUCUGGUCAGGUUGUGUCACCUAGUCCAUCCGGCGAGCAGGAUCCGAAGCGAACGAGAACUGAGCAGAGCACACUCAAUACAAAAUAUUUGUCAACAACGGCGGGUUCCAAUCAGGAACGCCGCCAGGACAAAUGAAUCUCCUAAGUUGGAACUGCCGGGUGGCGGGGAACUCCCGGACAGUUCGUGAUCUGGCAACUCUUGUUCAGUCGCUUUCCCCUACUUUGGUCUUCUUGUGCGAGACCCGCCAACCCAAGUCCCGGAUGAAGCGGUAUCGAGCAAGGUUAGGCCUCAAAGGAUUUCAUGGUGUUGAUAGUGAAGGAAAUAGUGGUGGUUUGUCACUCUUCUGGCAUGAAUCUCUCUCAAUGGAAGUAGUCUUUUCAAACCAACGAUGUAUUGACGCUCAAGUUAAAUUGGGGCCGGAUGAACCAGCGUUGCGUCUUACAUGCGUGUAUGGGGAACCUUGAGUGGAGAACAGCAGGCACAAUAUGUGGUCUCUUUUACAAAAUCUAAGUGUGCAAUCAGAUUUACCUUGGAUUGUUGUGGGAGACUUUAACGGGUGCAUGUGGGAUUUCGAGCACUUCUCGGCAACUGCCAGGUCAGUAGCACAAAUGCAAGCUCUUUGAGAUGUCUUGGAGGUAUGCGAGUUGGUUGACUUGGGUUUUAUUGGCAUCCCGCACACAUAUGAUAAUAUGAGGGCCGGUAGUGCCAAUGUUAAAGUUCGGCUGGACAGGGCAGUUGCAAAUCAUGCUUGGAGAAAUAUGUUUGAUAACACUUCUGUCAAGCACCUCAUAUCCCCAUGUUCAGAUCAUGUCCCAAUUCAUAUUUGUUGUGACGUACAUAAUGACCAGCCUACUAAAUCACGUAUAAGGAGGUACGAGGUUAUGUGGGAAAGAGAACCGGCUUUGCAAGAAGUAAUAGCGAAAGCAUGGGCUGAUGCUGGCACGAAAAACUCGCUUGGUGAUGUACAUGCAGCUCUCAGAGGUACUAUGCGCAGGCUGUGCGAGUGGAGUAAGUCAAAAUUUGGUAGUGUCACACGCGAGAUAGAAAAAUCUCGAACUCAGCUGGAGCAGCUCAUGUUAAUGAAUGCAGAUAGAAUGGAAAUACGAAGUGUGAUGGACAGAAUGAAUGAGCUUUUAUAUCGAGAAGAGCUCAUGUGGAUGCAACACUCUCGUAUUGCCUGGUUGAAAGAUGGCGAUAGAAACACGAAGUUUUUUCAUGCAAAAUCAGUGUAGCGUGCAAGAAAGAACAUGAUUAAAAAAUUGGAGGAUGCUCAAGGAAAUUUGUUCACUACCCAGAAGGAGAUGGGAGGGGCGGCCACAUCCUACUUCCAGAAUCUGAUUAAUCCCGUUGUUACGGCAAAUACAAAUGAUCUCCUGUGCGCUGACUUUACAGACAAAGAAAUCGCUGAUGCUCUAUUCCAAAUUGGACCAUUAAAGGCCCCGGGGCCAGAUGGGUUUCCAGCCAGGUUUUUUCAAAGAAAUUGGACAACUCUGCGGGAUGGAGUUAUUGCAUCCGUAAAGGAAUUCUUCCGUACUGGAAAUAUGCCUCCUGAUGUUAAUGAUACAGUGAUUGUGAUGAUCCCAAAAAUUCAAAAUCCAAUUAAAAUUACAGAUUUCCGCCCUAUUAGCCUUUGUAAUGUUAUCUAUAAGGUAGUGUCCAAAUGUCUUGUUAAUAGACUUCGCCCAGUUCUUGAUGAUAUUAUUUCACCAUUGCAGAGUGCUUUUAUCCUGGGACGAAUGAUUACCGACAAUGCCCAGGUGGCGUUUGAAUGUAUCCAUCACAUCAAGCAAGAGAAGGACCCAACAAAAAGUUUCUGUGCUUAUAAGCUAGACCUUUCAAAGGGAUAUGAUAGAGUGGACUGGGUUUAUCUUAGGCAAACGAUGGAAAAGCUUGGUUUUGCUCACCGGUGGGUUAAUUGGAUCAUGACUUGUGUAACUUCGGUGAGGUAUUCCGUGAAAUUUAAUGGAGCCAUCUUGGAAUCUUUUGCACCGUCGCGUGGUCUUCAGCAAGGUGAUCCAUUGUCCCCUUAUCUAUUUCUUUUUGUGGCUGAUGGUCUCUCUGCACUAAUUGGUAAAGGCAUUGUGGAAGAACAUAUCUCUCCUCUGAGAAUUACAAGAAGCGCCCUUGGUAUAUCCCACUUGCUGUUUGCGGAUGAUACUUUGCUAUUCUUUAACGCCACACUUCAGCAAGCUAAACUUCACCAACUACGUAGGUCUGGGUGGCCUGAAAGGACCUAUGAGGAGGUACGUCAAGAACUUCUUAGGUUGCAUGAAAGGUGGAAGAAGGUGGUGGAGCCGAAGAGUGAAACUUUCAGAAGGACUGCAGAAAAGCAUCCAUUUUUAUGGACUGAGGAGAGCGAGGACGACGAUGAUAUCUUCAUAUCGCCGCUUCCGGGUUCUGCAUCCGCGAAGGGCAAGAGUUCUGUAUCGACCAAGGGCAAGAGUUCUGCAUCGACGAAAGGCAAGAAGAGCGCAUCGUCGAAGGGCAAGAGGGCUGCAUCAACGGAGGAUGACGAUGAUGACUUCAUGUAGUAUGUAAGAUGUAUUCCAGUUGUACCGUUUCAUUCAGAUGUAUUUGCAUUAUUAGUUUGUCUUGUAUUAUUGUAGGGCAUUAUGUUCUAUCUGAAUUUCAUUUUGUAGUAUGUAAGAUGUAUUGCACAAGUUCAGCCGCACCGUUUAAUUCAGAUGUACUUGUAUCUUAAUUAUCGGUUGUAGUCUAUUUGGAAGUGUAACUGAAAUAAGAAUGCGAAUUAAUAGUAAUAUGUGUCUCGCAUACAUAAAACAAUAUAUGUCUCCUGAUCACAUAGAAGCAAGUGCGAUAGUAACACAUACAUGAAGCAUGUCUCAUACAUAAAUACUGACACACAGCUGCGAAUAGUCUGAAACUAACAUAGAAAAUGAGUCAUACAUAGAUAGAUAAGCAUAUCACUGCGGGGGACGACGACGAGUCUGGGUCUUCCUCGGGCGAGGACCCGAAGGCGAUAAGCGCUGAGGCGGUGGACGAGGCUCGCGAUAACCACGACCAUAGUUAACCUCGUCUGUCACGGUCUGUGUCUCCUGUGUCGGUGGUGGUGGUGGAGUGUGAAACACUGUCUGCGAGAAGCCAUAAAUGUUUGUAGCUUGGUCAUCAUCCUCGCGGUCGCCUCAAAGUACGAAGCACCACCACUAAGGAUCGGUGACUGCUCUGAAUGCAUGAACGGUUGCGACUGGUUGCCGCCUGCGGUAAAGUAAAAUUGAUACAAAUGCAUGAACGAAGCACCACCAGUAAGCAUCAGUGACUGCUGAGAAUGCAAGAACGAUUACUACACUGUUCAAAAGAAUGUAGUGAGUAGUGUUACCUAGAUUCAUCUGCUGAUGCCAGUAAGCGCUCCCUAGCUGUGAAGGAGGUGGCUCAUGCCAGGAAGAGCUCCAUGGCUGUGAAGGAGGUGGCUCAUGCCAGGAAGAGCUCCCUGGCUGUGAAGGAGGUGGCUCAUGCCAGGAAGAUCUCCCUGGCUGUGAAGGAGGUGGCUCAUGCCAGGAAGAUCUCCCUGGCUGUGAAGGAUGAGGUUCUGCACGAUGCACAGAGGGUCGUGGUUCUGAACGGUGCACAGAGGGUCGUGGUUCUGAAUGUUGUACAGAGGGACGUGGCGGACGAUGUGCUGGAGGAGGAAGUGCAACAUCCGAAGUCCGUCUACACGUGACAGCUGCGUAAAUCCCGCGUAGCUUGUCAUCAAGACGCCUCAACCAUGAGACGCCCUCUCGCGGUGGGAUAGUUUCUCCCCUCUGAAAGCGCCGCAUUAAAGCGGAAACCUCCUCUCGCGCCUGUACUGUCAAGUCACCCUGUACACAAAGAAUGAACCAAUUAUAUGCUCGUUGUAUGAUAGACACCACGAAUAGACAACCAAGCGAAUAUGUCCAGAUUAACAAAAGACUUAACAUAUGAGAACCAAGGCAUUUACCGCGUGGUGUCUGGUUCCCACAACAGAGGCAGUUGGGUACAUAUCGCUGGUGAGAGGGGCUUCGAUCUGAUCAGUAGCAGCUGAUGGAACCAAGUAGAUCCUCGUUGUAUGCCGGUAACGCUGCAGAUACAACCCAAACAUUUCCCAGUUAAAGGGCCGAACCUCACCCCAGAUAUUUGUCGCAGCGGUAGUCCAUUCGUCAACGUAAGGGGUAAUGCUCUCAAGCCAAUAAGUCAUGGACUUGUUUCCUCCUAGGCGACUGUCCCUGAGAUUGACAUGCGCGAUACAUGGUUAGGUAUAUUAUGAAUGCAGAGCUGCCAACUAAAAUAGUAUUAGUACUUACUUGUGCACGUGGUCUGGCAAGUGUGGAAUAUCUGGAAUCGCAGGCUCUUGAUAUAGACCGAACUGUCUCAUCACCCUAUGAAGAGACAUCUCCUCAACCGUCACGUCGAACACCAACUUGGCCUUGGUCAUCCAAAAGUGCCGAUCUCUAGUGCACAAUCCAGAAAUCCCAACUGGGUACCUCGAUGAUAUAGCCUGAGGCGAGUAUGGCUCCCAAAUAACUUGAUCCUCGUGCAAACUAUCAAACUGCGUCAUGAAGGACGGGUAGCAUCCCCUAACCUGAGUAUGCGCAAACUGUCUCUAUGCAUGACAACAAAUAAGCAUUAGUAAUACUAUUGAAUGGCAAGAAAUAAUUGAAUUAAUUGUUACUUAAUAUAAAAGUACCUCUCGCCGUGUCCAAACAGAUCCCAUAGUAGGUAAGUCGCCGAUAGCAGGCACAUAAGUCCCAGCUAAGUCCUCCAAACCAAAAGGUUUAUCAAUGUAGACAUAGGGUCGUCCAAUAGGGAACCUCUCGUAUGACCAAAGCUGCAACAAUAAUGGACAUCCAACAAGACUAGAUUUUCUAGACUUCAACAAGCAAGCUUUGCACAGGCCUCUGUACGUAGCCGCCAACACAGCAGAACCAAAACUCCUCUGUAGAAUAUCCGCAGGGCAACGUGCGUCAGCUAUCUCUCGUGCAAUACCGAUGAGUCGUGCAUCGAUAGUGGUCACGUGGUUCUCCGUAAACAUUGUCUUGCCGAAUAGCCAAAGAAUAUAUGCCUCUAGGGACCGGUCAAUCUGAGCCUCCGACAACUGAACGUCGGGAUGUCCUAACGAGACAAUCUACAUAGAAACGUAAUAAUUGUAUGAACAUCAGACAACUAAAAAACAACAUUUGUUUAAGUGGCCGUGAUGGUUACCUGAAACUGGCUCAACCAUCUAAAAAGAGGUCCAUGAGGAUCGUUGUCUAUAGCCCUAGCAGUCGGGACUGCAGCCAAAAAACGGGUAUGCAUCGCUGCUUGCCACCCAGAUUCUGCCUCUAAGGGACCUAUGGCAGCACCGGCCAGAGGUAAUCCCAACAAGUAAGACACAUCCUGUAAAGUAGGCGCCAUCUCUCCCCAAGGAAAGUGAAACGUAUGUGUUUCUGGUCUCCAUCUAUCUACUAAGCAGGUAAGGAGUGACUUGUCGUAAGAGAAACGUCUCACUUGCCUCUUGUGUAACUGCAAUGGUUCACCUGCCUCAUCUAAGUCCGGACCAUCAAUCCACUCAUCCAAUGUACCCUCAACCAGCCGUGCCAAGGGUAGAAGUCCAGCCCGACUUAACCUACAAAAUAAAGAGAUUGUUAGCGGUUAUGAAAAGUAUGUCAAACAUAGUAAGUCAUUAUAUGGUCUCCAUUAUAUGCACACAUACCUAUCAACCCAUGAAUCGUGUAUCAGCCAGUUAGUCUUUGGGGUACGAGUGACCAACACGUCUAAGUUGUUGCCCGCUUCCGUAAGAGCGCCCCGGUGCUUUCUAUCGAUGUUACCAUUAAGCAACGGAUACGAAGACAUAUCUGCAAUUCAAAUUAUCCGCACAAAUUAAAACAUAGUCCUCACAUAUUACAAAUUAAAACAUAGUCCUGACAUAUUACAUAUUAAAACAUAGUCCUCACAUAUUACAAAUUAAAACAUAGUCCUCACAUAUUACAAAUUAAAACAUAGUCCUGACAUAUUACGUAUUAAAACCCACUACGACACAUUAUAUAGCUUGUGAGUUAUUUCUUCCUCGUCCGCCCCUUCGGCCUCGACUACCACGACCACGUCCGCCUCUUGCUCCUGUUGUCGCAGCCGUCGAUGUGGAAGCACUCGUCGAUGCGGAAGCACCAUCUUUGUUCAGGUCGGGACAAUAUUUCAUCCUAUGCCCAUAAGCCGCGCAUAACAAACAUUGUCUGGUUGCUCCACCAGCUUCAGACUGGUCCAUAUCGUUCCGGAUGCGACGGGCCUUUCGUCUGCCCCUACUUGUUCGCUGAAGGUCUGGAUGCGGGAUGUAUACUCUCUCACCGUCGUUUACCUUGUUGAAAUUGCCGACGACUCUAAACCCUGUCAUCUCGCCUGUCCAGGUGUUGAGCACUGCCUCUUUUAAAUAGUAUGGGGACACGAAGGAUAUAGCAUCCAACUGAAUCUGGCCACAGGCAGCCAACACAUGAGAGCAAGGUAGGUGCAACAACUUCGGUUUGUUGCAUGUACACUCACACGUUGGAUAAAAUUCCGUUCCAAUUUUAACCUCGUGUGUCUUCACCUCAUUUCCAGAACCAAAACCAUCGGUAGGAAGCUGAACCUCAUACCUCCUUUCUUGAUUCCCUAUGAGUCUGACACUGUGCUUCUUUGCUUUCUCUAUCUUCUUUGCCAUGUAUUCCAUGACACGGCUACAAUAAGGUGUGUUCUGAUUAUCUUCAAUAUGCUUCUUUGCUAACUCGUGCCUUUCUCUGAAAUAUCUCAAAGUGCCAUGGAAUACAGCCUCCACAAUAGCUGUGAGUGGCAAUGCUCUAUUCCCUCUCAGCACAAAGUUAUACACCUCUGCAAGAUUGGUUGUCAUGUGGCCAUACCUAGCUCCAUGUGUGUCAUGCAGCAAAGACCAAUUCAUUGGAGGCUCUUUCUCUAUCCACUCAGAAAAAUUCUUUAUUGCCCUUCCCUUCUUUCUAUUAGUAUUAGGAGGGUCAAUUGCUGGCAAGUCGCAAAGACCAACUGGCUCCUCUAGCUCCGCGAUGAGUGCUGCUAAUUUAACCUGAUCUUCUUCCAUUUUCUUCCUUGCACGGACCUGCUUCUUAGUAAACUCAUCUAGUUUUGACCAAAUAAAUUCGUAUUUCCGCUGCUGGCUCUGCUUGCAUAAUUUUUUGAACAAGUUCAUCAACCGCUUGUUCUUGAACUGUGAGAAAAAAUUAGCCCCAAGAUGGCGCAUGCACCACCGGCUCUGCAAGUCCCUCCAAGGUGUUGGUUCGUCAUCUGCUGGAUUCCGAAGUGUCUUCACGGCCUUCAAUAUACCAGCAUGUCUGUCAUGAAUGACACACACGUCUGGUCGGUCCUUCACGAUGGCAAUUUUCACUUGGCGGAAGAACCAAACCCAGCUGAGAAAGUUCUCACCCUCCACAAAUGCCAUGGCAAGUGGGAUGAUUUGAUUGUUCCCGUCCACACCAAUAGCAGUAAGGAUUUGCCCUCUAUACUGACCGGUCAGGAAUGUACCAUCCACAAACAUAACAGGAGGACAAUGCCGGAAAGCUUCGAUGCACAUAGCAAAUGAGAAGAACACUCGUUUCAACACCUUGAAAUCUGGUAUACUCAGCAACCUCAUGUGUUGUACGUUCACAUAAGUGCCCGGAUUCCUUUCCUUCAGUAUGCCCAGGAGACGGACAACAUUAUCAUAUGAGUCGAAGAACGUCCCAAACCUUUCCUCCAUAGCCUUCUGCUUAGCCCUCCAAGCCUUCCCAUAAGCAAUGACAUAAUUCCAUCUGACCUUCACUGCUGUCUGGAUGUGUUUUGCUUCCAUAUCUUUCUUCUCUACUAUCUCAGUAUACAUGAGUUGCGCAAUGAGACUUGAAGUCAGGUUCGGAUGCUUCACCAGCAGGUUCGUCCUCACACAAUUAUGUGGGACGACAAUGGUGACAACCCAGUGGAUGUCAUACUUCGGCACGUGACCGUGCACCUUCCCAGGACAACCUGUUACAACACAUUUCACGGUAUAGUUUGUUGGACUUGAUAUGUGUGUCUUGAAAACCCUCUGCGUAGACAUAGCCCACUUUAUCACCGCAUACUUCAAUUUUUUCUUUGUAUCAAACAUAGCCCCUAUUUGUACUUGGUUCAGAUUAUACUGCCAUGGAGUCUCAUGGCCAUCGUUCACCGUAAGGCCGGUGGAUAUGUCUUGCUCCCAUGCAGAAGGAAUCAGUACCUCAACUUCAUCCUCAGAAUUUUCAGAAUCCAGUUCCUCCACCAAUCCAUCCUCGUCCUCUUCCUCCAUCACCCUCUGCAUUUCAUCCCCUUCCUCAUCCCCAUCAGCAAAACCAGAAACAGCUAAUAUUAUCGACUGGCUACUCUGCCCAGUAUCAGGACCACAAACAUUGUGUGGCACGUAGUCUGACUCUUUCUCCGGUUGGCUAGCAUCCACAUCUUGUGGCUGUGACCCGGAUAAAACAAUCUUGUUAGCCACUUCACUGCCUUGGCCGGGUUCAUACCCCCUGUGGAGUUGUACGGUAUUCUCCUCCUUCGGCACAGGUUGCACAAGUGCAUAUGGGUGGAUUCUUCGGUCUCGGCAGCGUCUUAACAGGGACAACCAAUGCUGGCUCCUAUCUACCGGCAUCAACUCCCACUUGACAUUUUUACAAGAUUUGGUCCACAAUGCAUGAAUACUGACGGAACAUACUUCAGGAUCCAGACCGAAACUAGUUGUCAACCAGUACUUCAACUGUCUAAUGUCCAGUCUGUCCGGGUCAGCUAGUGUCAUAACGCCAUUUUUAAACUCGCUAAGAUCAACCCCCAACUCAUUAUAUCGAACAUUACCAGCGCCGUAGUAAACAUUCAGAUUUACUGAUUCAGACAUUUUCACCUGUCAGACAUUGCCAUCUUCUCAUUAAUCACAACGAACUAUGCGCUAAAAUGCCUCCAAAAAUAUAUUAACACUAAAAUUCAUAAUAUGACUUAUAUACACUAACUAAACUAUAUUAAUCACAAUAUACACUAAUUUUAUCCGCUACACGAACUAUGCGUUAAAAUGCCUCCAGAAAUAUAUUAACACUAAAAUUCACAAUAUACACUAAUAUUAUCCGCUACACGAACUAUGCACUAAAAUGCCUCCAAAAAUAUAAUAACACUAAAAUUCAUGAUAUACACUAAUAUUAUCCGCUACACGAACUAUGCGCUAAAAUGCCUCCUAAAUUAAAUUAACACUGAAAUUCACAACGAACACUAAUAUUAUCCGCUACACGAACUAUGCGCUAAUAUUUACAUAAUAUUUGUGACGACGUGAUUAUACCUUCGAAGUGUGUGUCCGCUUCUCCUCUGCAGCUGCUGCUACUACUCACCUCCUCCUCCUCACCACCUCCUCCUCUGCAGCUGCUGCUACUAGUCACCACCACCUACUACCCGUCCUCCUCUCCACCAUGGCUCCUCCUCCCCACCAUGGCUGCUCCUCUACACAUAAAAAACUAUCCCAUAGCAAAAAAUAACACCGUAGGCCGGUGGAGAUUGCUAUGAUCUACCGAUUCUGUGGGUUGGAUUUGCAAAUGAGUGGCAAAUGGAGGAGAUCGGCGCGGGGGGAGUUCUACAGAGAAGAACUGAGAGAGAGAGAAAGGGAAACGAAGAAGGAUCCAACGAAGAACAGCAGCGCAGGGGCGAACGGUGCUUAUCCGCACCUUUUCGGCCUACGCCUGGCCGAAAAGCUCUUCGGUCGAAGCCUGGCCGAAAAGGCCAGCUUCGGUCACCGGUGGGCCGAAAACGGCCCAGUUCGGCCUCCUGGCACCCGAAGCUACUAUUUUCGGCCGCGCCCCCGCCAACAACGUGUUUUCGGCCCAACCGCGGCCGAAAAGCCUACUUCGGCCACACCCUGGCCGAAAACUGCCUUUUCGGCCCACUCCUGGCCGACGGGCUACUAGUUUUGCGUUUUCUUCAUUCUACGCUAUAGUUUCCGAAAUUGCUACAAAAAAUAACAUAGUUUUGAAAAAAAAUCCUUAUAAAUCAAGCAAAGUGCUCUUUGCUGUUUGGUGAUGCAUGUCAGCAAGACAUGGUUACUUCUGUAAAAGAUGUGUUGCAGGUUACUUCAUUUGGCUUUGAGGAGAAAUAUUUGGGGCUACCCACCCCUGAUGGAAGGAUGACAAAAGGGAAAUUUCAGAACCUCCAGGUCAAGCUCACCAAGAGACUAUUUGCUUUUGAUGGCCAUCCUACACAAGCUGGAAAAGAAUAGCUCAUUAGGUCAAUUGCACAAUCCAUUCCUACUUACUUAAUGAGUGCUUUUAAGCUCCCUUUAGCAGUCUGUGAUGAUCUAAACCAGAUGGUACGUAACUACUAUUGGGGUGCUGAGAAAGGUAAACGCAAAACACACUGGUACGCUUGGGAUAAAAUGACAAGGCCGAAGUCCCUUGGCCGUCUUGGGUUUUAGGGACUUUCGACUCUUCAAUCAAGCGCUACUAGCCAGGCAAGCAUGGAGAUUGAUUGCGUUCCCAAAUAGCCUUUGUGCUAGACUCUUGAAAGCAAAAUAUUACCCUAAUGGUAGACUAGAUGACACCGUGUUUACUGGUAAUCCAUCCCCAUCAUGGCAGGCUAUCAGUUAUGGGUUGGAUCUGCUGAAGAAGGGGCUGGUUUGGAGGAUCGCAAAUGGCCAGAAUGUUAGAAUAUGGAGGGACAGAUGGGUGGUGCGCGAGCCCUCAGGCGGAUUGAUCUCGAGGAAGGGGCGUUGUAGGUUCAAGUGGGUGUCUGAGCUCAUGGAUUAUAAUGGAACAUGGGACCAAACCAAACUAGAACAAUUCUUUUUACCCGUUGACAUAUGUGAGAUCUUGAAAAUACGGCCAUCUCCACGACUUGGUGUAGACUUUCUUGCUUGGGCACCAGAGAAGUCGGGCAUCUUUACUGUGCGCAGUGCUCAUUGACUUGCGUCGGAUGAAGUGAGCAAUACUUCAAUCGCUACUUCCAGUGAACUUGCUGAUGGAGCACGGGUGGGAUGGAAGCACAUCUGGUCCACUCCAGCUCCACCAAAGGUUCUAAAUUUUGCAUGGAGAUUGGCAACAGAUUCAUUAGCUACUUGCAAGAACAAACAAAAACGGAACCUGCAGAUAAGUGUUAUGUGUCUGAUUUGUAACUGUGAGGAGGAAGACUCUUUUCACACCUUUUGCUCAUGCAUUAAUGCAAGGCGACUAUGGAGAGAAAUGUCGGUUGUAUGGGACCUUCCGGAUGUUACAAAAAUAAUGCCAACAGGAAGAGAAUGGUUUGUUCAGAUAGUUUCAGAUUUGAACGAACAUGUACGGCUAAGACUGAUGAUGCUACUUUGGCGUAUUUGGUAUGUCCGAAAUGAGCUAGUUCAUCAUAAACCUGCGCCACCAGUGGACGUCUCUUGCCGCUUCCUAGCCAGCUGCGUCGCGUCGCUACACUCCAUUGCUUUAAACCCACAGGCUGAUCACUCAAAGGGCAAGUACCCAGCUAUGGUGUGUUUUCCUUUGGCUGCUCCUACAUGCAAUAUAAAGCGUCUUGAUCCUAGCCCUUGGGCUCCUCCUGUGGCUGGUAGGGUAAAGCUGAACACCGACGGAUCUGUGCUAAAUGGAGUAGCAGGUACAUGUAUGAUUCUUAGAGACCAUGUCGGCAAUAUCAUUUUUAGUUCCUGUAGAUAUUUGUUUUCUUGUAAUGAUGUGCUUGAGACGGAGAUCAUGGGCAUUCGAGAAGGUCUCUCACUAGCAUUACAAUGGAGCAAUUUGCCUGUUGAUGUUGAAUCAGACAACCUUGAAGCAGUGAAGAUGAUUCUUACUGGGGACAUGAAUAGAUCAAAAUAUGCUUUUCUGAUAGAGGAGAUCAAAGCUAGUUUGAUCGAGCGUAAUUCUUGUAUUACUCAUGUUGUGCGCAGCAAAAAUAAUGCUAGUCACUUUUUGGCAAAUUUUGGACGAUCGCAAUGCCGAACUGUUGUGUGGCUUGGAUCGGGUCCUGAUGAACUCCUCGACAUUGCCGGUCGUGAUUGUAACCCUGGAUAGUUUUGAGUAAUACAAGUAUUAUCCAGCAAAAAAAAAGCACAACUUCCUUACCAAUUUUAAGAGCUAUAUGGCUGUAUGGUAUUCAGAUACCUUUUUAUGUUUGAACAUUUAGAAUGUAAAUAUAUUUUCCCAACAUUUCUAUCCAUGUUUCUUUCUUAUUCAUCCACAAUAUAUGUUUUCUUCUAUCUUCUCAUGAACAAAAGAAAGUCCCGGAGCAACACGCGGGGUAUCAUCUAGUUUUCAUAUAGGUAGCCUGCAAAUAUCCUUACUGAUAGCUAAAUUCAUUUUAACGUAAUUUCCGCUUUUUUUUUUGAGUGGUAGUAGGUAAUUUCCGCUUCCGCUGAACCGGUGCGCUCAGCCGCUCACUUUCCAGAUUGAUGUGGGCCNNNNNNNNNNNNNNNNNNNNNNNNNNNNNNNNNNNNNNNNNNNNNNNNNNNNNNNNNNNNNNNNNNNNNNNNNNNNNNNNNNNNNNNNNNNNNNNNNNNNNNNNNNNNNNNNNNNNNNNNNNNNNNNNNNNNNNNNNNNNNNNNNNNNNNNNNNNNNNNNNNNNNNNNNNNNNNNNNNNNNNNNNNNNNNNNNNNNNNNNNNNNNNNNNNNNNNNNNNNNNNNNNNNNNNNNNNCUUUGCUUCUUCUUCGUGGAGACAAGGAAGAACAGAACAGAUUCUGCUGAGUGCUCUAAUGGCGCCUCCAGAGGUCGGGGUAGGUGGGGUUGCUCGCAGCUGGGGGCCCCGGGCGGCAGCCACCAUCAGGGCCGGGCCUGUGUCCGUCUCACGCGGUGCCCUGCUGGACUCCCCGGACACAUGGACCCCCGGAGCAGAGAAGGGGAGCAGCACCGGGAGGCCGGAGACGAAUGAGCUCUAAAGCUUCCAGCUUCGAACCCCGGCCAUAUCAAGUUCACAUAUGAGGUAAAAUCACUCGUUCCCCAUUGCCCCGCCCACUUUUGGUGUACUUCUAGUGCAUCUAGGGUUAUGUGCCUUUUCCAAAAAUGUGCAUUAGCUUUCCAUAGAAAGGGGAAAAUGAAAGGAAUGUGGCAGGCUCAACGCUUGGUUAGAUCAGUUCGUGCAAUUUUCCCUUUCUUUCUGUACAGAUUUUAUUUUAAAUAAAAUUCGACGGUAGGUAGUUCACCCAAUGAAAAAAAUAGCGUAGUCCUUAAAAUAUGCUAUGAGCAUGCUAUAUCACGCUAUAACAUGCUAUUAGAAAGACAUUGUACAUUGAUUUAUUUAAUAAAUCAUUGCUCAAAACAUUAUAGCGUGCUAUUAGCGACACUAUAGCGCUUUUCCACUGAGUUCACCUACUAUUUUCCUAAAAAAAUAGCAUCAUCAUGUGGUUCAUCAGAGCCGGCUGGUAGUCUCUACCCUCCCGAACCUUGUGAUUAAUUAGUUAGAAUCCACAAAGAGACACGAUUAAUUAACUAGUUAAUUACGAUCCGCAAUCUCUCCAUAGAGUUUUUUUUUGUGUGUGAUACUAUCUCCCAUGUUCAGGGUCUCUGUCAGCGUCGUUUUUGUUAGACUAAAUCCAAGGCAUUACCAUCGAUUAUCCGAGGACCAAGCAAUCACACGAGCACGACACCGAGAUUUAUUAACGAGGUUCACCGAUAUGGUUACAUCUCCAGGACCUGACUAUGGGCGCUCUUCCCCAUGACACAGCUACAAUACCGUACCCGGUCGCCCUGAACACCGGCACAUGCCGCCGGCUUCCCCUACAUUCCGGUGCUAUUAUGUUGGCAUAGGUUACAUCGUGUGUCUAGCCCCGCUAUAUAUGAGAGGCUUAGGAUACAAGUGUCCUACUUAAACACGGCUACAUAUCCUAUCUAAACACAAUACAACUCAGAGUUCAACUGUAACCUAACUUAUACACUAUAUUCGACACAACUCCAACAAACUUCAUCUUGGCGAAUAUUCUCCACCAUCUUGAAUUCGUCAAUGCGUCAAACUUCCAUGUACAUUGGACUUGAACUUCUCUCAUGAGUACCGCUGCUACUCCAAAGACUCCAUAUGACUCCACCUGCAACUUGUAAUCCUUUCUUUUCUUGACCAUAGUCAACACUCGAGCAAAAUUAAGUUCCUUGUUACUCUAGUUUGUGCUCCCAACUUUCAGAGUAUCCGUCAACGCCAUCACGCAUCGAUCACUGACCUGCGUGAAAGUGAACAACUCACAUAUUGGAUGCCACACAUAAGAGUUACCUGAACUCAACAUCACUGCUCCUUUCUUAACCAUCUAUCUGAAAUCUGAAGGAAUUUCACCGUUGCUUGUAAUCAUCCCGAGUCAAAUUCGCAGUUGUCUCACCACAUGUAUGACCACCAGAGUCUUGGCCCGUCUCCAUGCCCCGUGCAUACUGCACGCCUCGCCGCUAUUACCGCGUCGAGCCUCCGCUGUCCCGGUCGAGUCUCAAGAGUCGUGAACCCACACCACUCAACCUCCACUGCAGAGUACCACCGACCAUCACCGACCGAUGGCGAGUUUCACGCUUCCAUCAGACCACUGGGCUCCAGUCCAAACUACGUGUCUCUCACUUUUUCCCACCUGCUGAAUAGGCUUCGAUUCCCUGGAUCCUUACAUCGUAGCCCCUCAAUCCAGCUCCACCUUCAACAUGACUCCAUGAUGGUUGUACGUGCCGCCCCGCGCCCCGUCGACUCCAAGCUCUCGUGUGCACCGUCUUGAAUCAACCCCGUGCCAUAGCCUUGUCGAAGCCACACAAGCCCUCUGGACCCGCGCCACGUGUUUCCACGCCCAGAAGUCGGUCACCAUCGGCAUCACGCUCCUAUGUGGUCGUCACCGAUCCCACCACCGUCUUCUGUACCAACCAACAUGCGUCGAUCCGUCAAACCGUCCAAGUCUGACCUCAACCAAACUUCCCCGACUGCACGACACGUUCCAGACUCCUCAAGCCGUCACCGUGACCUUCACCAUCCGUACACAUAUGUGUACCAACAAAGAAAACCAGGCAAAGUCCACACAUAGCCUUCCCGUGUCAACAUACAUGAAACCCGAUUCAUCACGUCUGUAGCUGGGCUUUACUUUCCUUUUCUUUUUUCCAUGAUAGCAUCACGAUCUGACUAAGUCCUUGUGCCGUAUUUUUUUCCCAAACAAAUCACUUGUCCUUGCUUUUACAGCUCUGCAGCUUCCUGCACGCACUCGUCCAUGCUUCCAUGCAGCAUGCCACGCAUGUUGACCUCACCAGGCUUCGGCCCAGCCGCCCGUGCCAUGGCCUCGUCCGUUGCUCACCUUGCAGCCUGCGUAGCUGCACCUGCCCCCAACUUGGGCCGCCUGAACCACACACCUAUAGGCCCUUCCUGAGGCUUAGCGCGCCUUGCACAAGCCAGCCCUGCCUGGGUUCUCUUGGCAACAUUGCCAAUGGCAACGCUGCCGCGGGAUUCCUGCCGCUGCACGACUGAUCUGUCGUUGACGUCCGCGUGUAUCACGCGCCAACCAAUCACUACCGGAAUCGCCCCCUAUGCCGACGACCAGGGCCGUCGGCAUAGGCCUGAGUCCCGUCGGGGUAGACCUAUGCCAACGGCCCCCGUCGGCAUAGGGCCGUCGGCAACAUAUGCGUCGGCACAGCCAGCGAGGCCGUCGGCUUAGAAAAGCCGUCGGCAUAUAUGAUACGCCGACAGGGGCCGUACAUCUAUGCUGACGGCCCCGGCCGUCGGCAACCAUCACGCCUAACGGCGGCCGCCGUCAAGUCUGCCCAAUGACAGAUCGCCACGUGGCACCCCUAUGCCGACGGCUAGACCGUCGGCAUAGGUGUGCCACGGGGCGACCAGCCGCUGCUCGUGGACCAGGGCUAUGCCGACGGCUGGCCGUCGGCAUAGUUUGAAACUAAGCCGACGGCCAGGCCGUCGGCAUAGUCCUUCAUACAGAGCUCCCAGUAGCUGACACGUGGCACCUAUGCCGGCGGCCUAGCCAUCGGCAUAGUUUUUAAACUAAGCCGACGGCUAGGCCGUCGGCAUAGGUACCACGUGUCAGCUACUAGGAGCUCACGGCAUAGUUUGCUUUUGUUUUUUUUUGUUUUUUCUGUUUGUUUUCAGAUCAAUUCAAUUCAAAUAGCAGCACAUAUCAGCAGAUAUAUAUGAUGAGAUAGACAUAUAAAACACAACGGGAUAUCAUCCGGCACCAUCACAACAAUAUAUGCAUAAGCAUCAUCACACACAAGUCUCUAAAUGAACAUCAUCACAACCAACAUAAGCAUAUAGAGAAGCACACAAGUCAUCUAAAUGAUCAUCACCACACACAAGUCAUCUCAAGCAUCAUCACCACACAAGGAUCAUCGAGCACCGCGGAGGUCGUCACCGCCAAGACGGCCAAAGCCCAGGUUGUCACUGCUAGCGGCAGCGCUACCGCCAAGACCGCCUCCGCCUCCAUCUCCGCCUCUGCCUCCGUGGAUCGGAGUGGUCGGGCUCCGUGUCUCCGGAGUGCUGCGAAGACCACCGCCAACGGUAGAUCCACAUGUUCCCUGGAUAUUGAAAAGACAUAUGGACGGGAUAUAUGACUGUGUUGAAAGGCAUGACAUGCUUUGGGUGAAUAGAUUGGGGAUGAACUAACCGGCGAGGGGCCAGCGUUCUGUGCCACAAACUCCUCCAAGCUCAUCAGCACUGGUUGUGCUGGAGGGCAUUGUGCUGGAGGGAACUGAGGACACCUGUCGGCCGCCAUAUCCUGAAAAGCCUGCUGCAUCUGGCUAUCCCUCUGCACUUGGUGUUCAUAAAGCCUCUGAUGCCAUGCCAUGGUCUCCUGGCGUGUGUACUCCAUGUAGGCCUACGGUAUGACAUGAUGGAACUCAUAAAACUACUAAAUGCGGAAAAUGAAGUGAGCAAUGAAGAUAAGAGGGAAAAUACUUACAGAUUGUUGCUCCUGAAAGAGGGACUGUGUACUGGUCACUGGCUGGCUCGUGCGCUGGCUCAGGCUCGGGUCGAUCCGACGAAGCUGUGUGUAGGAGAUACUAGGAGUGAUCACAACAUCGAGAACCGCCUCCCGACCGUGCUCCUUGGGCCCCAUGCUCACCACCGCCCUGUCGUCCAGAGGCGCCGCAAUGGGGUCAGGUGUGUCAGGAUGCAACUUCAGAUACGCUUCAGAGUAGGCCUGCUUCCUCCCCGCGGUCUUCUUGCCGUAGUACUGGGGCUCGCCAGGCUUGGAGUCCUUCCGCGUAUGGGCGAUCUCCCACGCCUGCAUGUCUGAUAGCGGCCGCUUCAGUUUCUCCUCCUGCACCACCAAACAGAGGUUAGUCAUACAUAAGAAAGUGAUGGUAAAUAGAAGAAGAAGAAUGUUUAAUGGGGUUAGUCAUACAUUAACUGCCUUGUGGAGAUAGUGGUUUCGGUUUCCCUGAGCAUGUACUCCCUCCGUCCCUCGGUUAGCCUUAUUUUUGGUUCUCAUAGCCGCCCAGGCUCCAGCCUCAUCACACCAAAGAUCCACCAAUGCCGCCCAGGACUCGUCUUUUCCAUAACACCAAUUUGGACACACCUACAUAAUAAAAGCAUAAUGGCAUGUAGGUGUGUCCAAAUUGGUGUUAUGGAAGCAUAAAGCAUAAAGCAUAAUGUACCACAAGGUAAUGAAAGCAUAAUGAAAGCAUAAUAUAUGAAAGCAUAAUGAAAAAUCUUUUAUACUUACCGCCAAGAACUCGGGCCUCUCCAAGGUAAUGCCCAUCCUCCGCGCUUCUUCCUUGGUCAUCUUCACACCAAGAUAGUCGUGGUAGUAUGUGGAGAUGGCCACAUAGCGCACCUCGUACUGCAUCUGGCGGGCCUUCUUCUUGCAUUGGCGCAGCACGAUCUGGUCCGCUCUAGCCCUGUGCUCCGGAAGAACUCGAUAGAAUGUCUACAAUCAUGCAUGAAACAAGAAUGGAAGAAGCCAUGAGUUAAAUCAUUCAUGAAACUAGAAUGGACUUGUGCUUCUGAAGAGAACUCACCCAGAAAGUAGUGAUCACGGCCUUGGCAUGGGUCUCAUGGUCCGCGUGGCGGGCCGCUUCCCAGUGGUCCCAGCUCGUGGCCAAAACCCGACGGUCCGGCUGCCUAACUGGAUCAGGACAGUACAACCCCGGCCAAUAUAACUUCAGCAAGACGGUGAUGAGGCCGUUGGGAAUACGGACCCCUUUAGAAUAUAUCCAGUUGCUGCAAAAGAAUGAACUAUUAGCAUGUGACAAGCAAAAUAAAUAACAACCGGAAUAAGCAUGUGACAAGCAAAAUAAUGAACCACUUACUCUUUUCCCGUGAGCUCAAUGAGCCACUUCUGCUCCUUAGUAGCAGGAACCUUCUUUGGUAGCUUUGCGUUGCCACGCAGCCACCCCUUCUUGUCAACCCCCUUCCCGUCACCACCAUCAUCCCCGCCACCACCCUCCUCCUCGCCUGCCUNNNNNNNNNNNNNNNNNNNNNNNNNNNNNNNNNNNNNNNNNNNNNNNNNNNNNNNNNNNNNNNNNNNNNNNNNNNNNNNNNNNNNNNNNNNNNNNNNNNNNNNNNNNNNNNNNNNNNNNNNNNNNNNNNNNNNNNNNNNNNNNNNCCUCCUCCUCCUCCUCCUCCCUAGAGUGUACCUCACUAGAGGAGGGUACCUCACUAGAGGAGGGCCUCGAAGACAACACCCCUAAGUCGGUGAGGGUGCGCUCUUUCUGGCCGCGACCCCCUGUAGUGGCUCUCCCCCCAGCACCUCGUCCUCUAGAGGCUCUCCCCCCGCCCCCUCCUCCUCUAGGGGCACCUCUCCCUCGACCUCCCUGCGAGGAGUCAUCGUCAAGUAGCCGAGGGGGAGGAUUACGUGCUCGACCACUCCGACUAGGCAGGCCGACGACCUUGCGUAGGAAACCCACGCCGUCGGCCUUCCCCUUGCCCAUGUUCCACGAACCUGCAUUGAAAAGAGAAAAAGCAAUUAGUAAAUUAAUGAAAUGAAGGAAAAGGCAUGAUAAUAAAAACAUUAAUAAAAAUGCAUAAAAAGGCAUAUUCCUAAACUAUAGAAAAAAAUACUUGAAACGUACAUCUGCUAGAACCCAUAUGAAUCAUCACUGUUGUAACCUCUUUCUCGGUCCGUCUCAUCAUCACUAUCAAUCAUAUCAUCUUCGUUGUCCGUCGGAGGUGGAGGCUCUUCCUCGUCGUCAGCGUCUUCGUUUAACUUUUCUAGCAUAAGUAUGUCAUUUUCAUUGACAAUGGUCUCACCAUCAUUCUGUGCAUCAUCGACGUUUGGGUCCACAUCAUCAUCACCCAAUGGUCUAGCGUCAUCGUUUCUAACCACAUCAUCAUCAUCAUCAUCAGGUUGCUCUUGAUAGAACACUCCCUCGUAUGUCAUGGGGUUAAUGUUGUAGUAAUCGUCUUCAUUCGGGUCUGGUAGCUUACCAUGUGGCGACACCUUGAACACAACUUCCCAACCCUUUAGAUACACUUUCUGGCAUGGGUAAGGCAGAUAAUAUACUUGUGUAGCUUGGGUAGCCACAAUGAAGAGAUUGGCUCCGGCAUAGACGGUUGAUGGUUUAACUUCGACCAAACCAAUGGAAGGCGUAUGUUUUACCCCGUCCCGCGGAUCGAACCAUCGGCAUUUGAACACAGGCAGACUUAGGGUCUCACGCCCCUGGCAGAAUUUAACCUCGUAUAUAUUUUGUACCCUUCCGUAGUAGUCUACUGAAUUUUGACCGGGGGUGUACACUCCAGUAUUUAUAGUUUUGGGAUCGGGGCGGCUGUUUUGGUGCUCCUCUGUAUGGAAGCGAUACCCAUUCACAUCAUACUUUUUACAUGUCAUGACGGCAGGGUCAAAACCCAUGGAAACCCAUCUCAAUUCAUCAUCCAUAGAUAUGUUCGGAUCUUUUCCCUACAAGUAUAAUGGAAAUUGUUGCGUGCAUUAGUUCGGUUAACUAAUAAAUGUUGAAGUAGGUAUUUAAUAAGGGAGUGUGGAAAAUCACUUUCUCCAUGAACCAAGCAACAAAAUUUUUACGUCCAGGGUUUCCAUGACGGAGAAGAGUAAGUGCCUCCGCCUCAGUAGGAGGAUUCACUCCCGUCCAUUCCUCUUGAAUGAAAUCGCUAAAAAAAGAUAAGCGGUGUUAGACCGGGACUAAGUGAACAUGAAACAUGAUGAUGUGGAAGACAUAAAGGAAUGGUGUAGUGGUAUUACCUCAUCCACACUUCCUCAACUUCCUUGAUGUUGUGCAAGAUAUAGAACAUGAGGUCCUCCCACUCUGUUGUGGCAUGUUAUAACAUUUCAAGGCCCCAGCCCUCCCACCUUGCGCGUUGAAUAGAUCGAGCCUGGGUUGAUACUUGGGCUCUUCUAUAUUGUAUCGAGGCACCUUGUUAUGCAGAUGGGGAACGUGGUCUGGAUAGUAUGAUGUCCUGAGGUCUGACACCUCCUCUAGGAUAACUGCCUCAGCUAUGGAAGCUUCAAUCUUAGCUUUGUUUCCACAUUUCCGUCGGAGAUGCUUGUUCUGCCUCUCAGGGCCAUACUGCCAGCGAUUUUGCACAGGGCCCCCCAACAAUACCUCGUUCGCGAGGUGCAGAAUGAGAUGUGUCAUCAGAGUAAAUAAGCCCGGCGGAAAGAUCUUCUCUAGCUUGACUAUCAACUCCGGUGUCUUCUUAUGCAAUUUUUCAAUCACCUCUUUACUUACUUCUUUAGCACAGAGCGUGCGGAAGAAAUGGCUAAGCUCGGCAAGCACUCGCCAGACAUGCUCGGGGACAUAGCCUCGAACCAUCACCGGCAUUAUCCGCUCAAUCCAUACAUGGUAGUCAUGACUCUUCAGGCCGGUCACUUUGCCCGUUGAAAGAUUGACUCCCUUACUUAUAUUCGAUGCAUAACCAUCAGUGAACUUCAAAAUUUGUUUCAGCCAGAUAAGUACUUCUUUUUUUUCUGGCGGUUUAAGGACAAAGUCAGCAUCUGGCUUGAACCAGUUUUUUCGACCGCCUGUGGGAGGCUUCAUGUUCAGGCGUGGUCUAUCACAAAUUCUCUGUUAAUCGGCUCUAGCUUUUACGUUAUCCUUCGUCUUAUCAGGAAUGUUGAGGAUCAUGUGGAAAAGGGACUCUGCCACAUUCUUUUCGGUGUGCAUCACAUCAAUAUUGUAAGGAAGUUUGAGGUCCUCGAAAUAGGGAAGCUGCGAGAAGGGGGUAAUGUGCGUCCAGUUGUGCGUCUCACCAUAUCCCUCGAAGCCUUUGGCUUUGGCUUUGGCUUUGCCUUUGACUUUAGGCUUGAGAGCUUUUAGCUGAGCAAGAACAUGUGCCCCCGAAAAUGUUGGAAUCUCGGUUACUUCAUGAACAACCCGACCUUUCGUGAAGUUCUUCUUGUCUUCCCUGUCUGGAUGGUCUGGAGGGAGGAACUGUCGAUGGAGGUCAAAGGCUACAUACUUGCCACCCUUCCUCAGCCAAAUCAUUCGCAGAGCCUGCAUGCACACUGGGCAUGGCAUCUUACCACUUGUACACCAUCCGUAGAAUAGAGCAUAGCCGGGAAAGUCAUGCAUGCAAUAGUGCAACCAAACUUUCAUCAAGAAAUUUCUCUGCAGAUCCCGGUCGUAUGUCAACCUCGGAAAGUACCAAGAAUGGUGCAAAGCAUCCACAAGCGGCUGCAUAAACACACCCAAUUGCUUCCCCGGGUAGUCAGGCCCCGAAAUGAUGAGCGACAAGAACAUGGUCUUCCGUUGCAUUAGGGCACCGGGAGGAAGAUUGAGCGGAAUUACAAACACAGGCCAGCAGCUGUAUGGAUUGGACGACAUACCAUAUGGAUUCAACCCAUCACCUGAUAUGGCUAUUCUGACAUUCCCAGCCUCGGCUGCUUCCUCGGGGUAUUCUUCAUCGAAUGACUUCCAUGCUUCCCCUCCCGAUGGAUGUAUGAUUUUUUUGGAUUGUACCUUAUACCUUCCUUGUGCCACUUCAUCAUUUUGGCAGACUCCUUUGUGAUGAAAAGGCGCUGCAGUCUUUUUAUAAAAUCAAGAUACCGAAGAACCUUAACGGGGAUGGUUAGCUGCUUUUUCUCACCAUCCUCACCGACCACCUCAAUGUACCGAGACGAACCGCACUUCCUACAGUACUUGUCAUCCGCAUACUCGUGCCUAAACAAAAGGCAAUUCUUCGGGCAAACAUCUAUUUUCUCAUAAUCCAUAGAGAGUGCCUUCAUGAUUUUGUUUGUAUCGUACAUGCUUUUCGGCAGUUCAUGACCCUCAGGGAGGCUGUUAGCCCAUACUCCCAGGAAUGCUUCGAAGCAUUUCUGGCUACAACCGUACUCAGCCUUGACUGCAAUCAGUUGCGAGAUGGCAUCCAGCUGAGAUAUUUUCGCACCCGCAUAAAGAGGUUUCUUCGACGAGGCCAAGACCUCCAAGAAGGCCUUUGCGGUUGCCUCCGGCUCCUCCGGUUCAUUCUAUGAAGGUGUCGCAUUUGCCGUUUCUGCAACAAUGACAUCAUCUAGCAUGUCCCUGACCCCGUCGUCCUCAUAUCCAUCGAUGCGUUGUCGCAUCACCUCCUCUCUACCACGGUCCUGCUCGGCUAUGUUUAUCGGCGGCAUGUCAAAGUUUGGCAUAUAUCCAUGUGUGCGAAGGUGCUCACUCAUGUCCGUCUGAUUUCUAUGGUGACGUCUGGCACAUCUCGCACAGGGGCAUGGUGGGAUAAUUCUCAUUGGACGACGGAAUAUCUCCUUCAAAUACACAUCGGUUUUCGUGAUCCACUCUGAUGUUACUCGAUUCUGACGGAUAAAACCACUGUACAUCCACUGAUUAUCUGCCAUCCUCUGCUUUUUUGCAACCCACACAACAUAAUUAAGGAUUCACUUAAAUUAAUCACAUCAAAUUUUCAGUUUCUACCGUGUUUAAUCCACCUACAUCUCUAAUAGGUAAAGAUGGGUCAUAAUCCCACCCGAGGAUCUGUAGAUUGAGUAUGUUCUCCAUUCUAACCCGUUUCAAGACAAAAUUUCGGCAGCACCUCCCCGCUGUUCUCCAGAUACACGUCUCGGCAAAUAGCCGAGAGAAUGUGCUCCGGAGAACAACGGGGAGGCGCCGCCGAAAUCCUGUCUCGGAACGGGGUAGAACAUGGAGAACAUACCCAAUCUACACAUCCUCGGGCUGUCCAUGAAAAACGCUGGACAAUCCGAAAGAGCUGCAGUGAUAAAUAUGCAAUUGAAUGCAUAUUUAUCGAUGCAACCCUUUCGGACGGGAGACCUAGGUUACGCGACUUGAUGUGAAAAUUUAAUCUAGUGACAUGGAAAAAAGUGGACGAGGUCAUGGAAUUGUUGCUCACCCUCCGAUGUAGUCGAUCAAAGCAGAGGGACGAUCGUGGACCAACACCUCCAACGUCGACAAUCACUCCACGAAGAUGGAACACCACAAAUCCUGUUAAUUACAUCGAGGGGAAAAAAUUUAGGUCAUCACCUCACAUUAAGCAUUGACACUUUAAACUAUAAAGAAAAAUCAUAUUUUGUCAACUGUCAAAUUUGGAAGAACUAAUCAUAUCGCAAUUUAGGUCAUCACCUCACAUUAAGCAUUGACACAUCAAAUUUUUUUAGCAAGAUCAUCAUGAUGAAAUAACCACUUAUCAUAUCCCAAAUUUGAAGCACAUCUCACAUAGCUACUUAACAACAUCACAAACUGAAAAUAAAAUCUUCGUUAACAAUUUUAUAAACUAAGUGACUCAAGUUGCUUUUUUAACUAUGAUAAUUCAUUUUGCCGAGAUUCAUCCAUCUAGCAACCUAACCGUAGCAAAAUAAUUCGUUUUGCCGAGAUUCCUCCAUCCAUCUAAGACACAUACAACAUUCAUCCAUCUAGCAACCUAACAACAUCCAACAUCCAUCCAUGCAUCCAUUCAUACAUCCAACAGUAGCUAAAUAAUGCAAAAAAUGAAGAAAAAAAGAAGUAUUAGCUCACCGGGCAGAGAGGCGUCGCGGUGGUGGCGUUGGAGGCAGGGGCCGGCGGUGGAGGUGACGGGAGGGCCGGGGCAGGGUUGGGCCGGCCGGAGAAGCCCGACCAACACAGCAGGGGCGCGGGCCGGCGAGAGCCGCGGCCAGCCGUGCUCGGGACCGCCGCCGGCGCCGCACAGGGUCGAGGAGGAGGCGGUGUGGUCGGGGCNNNNNNNNNNNNNNNNNNNNNNNNNNNNNNNNNNNNNNNNNNNNNNNNNNNNNNNNNNNNNNNNNNNNNNNNNNNNNNNNNNNNNNNNNNNNNNNNNNNNNNNNNNNNNNNNNNNNNNNNNNNNNNNNNNNNNNNNNNNNNNNNNNNNNNNNNNNNNNNNNNNNNNNNNNNNNNNNNNNNNNNNNNNNNNNNNNNNNNNNNNNNNNNNNNNNNNNNNNNNNNNNNNNNNNNNNNNNNNNNNNNNNNNNNNNNNNNNNNNNNNNNNNNNNNNNNNNNNNNNNNNNNNNNNNNNNNNNNNNNNNNNNNNNNNNNNNNNNNNNNNNNNNNNNNNNNNNNNNNNNNNNNNNNNNNNNNNNNNNNNNNNNNNNNNNNNNNNNNNNNNNNNNNNNNNNNNNNNNNNNNNNNNNNNNNNNNNNNNNNNNNNNNNNNNNNNNNNNNNNNNNNNNNNNNNNNNNNNNNNNNNNNNNNNNNNNNNNNNNNNNNNNNNNNNNNNNNNNNNNNNNNNNNNNNNNNNNNNNNNNNNNNNNNNNNNNNNNNNNNNNNNNNNNNNNNNNNNNNNNNNNNNNNNNNNNNNNNNNNNNNNNNNNNNNNNNNNNNNNNNNNNNNNNNNNNNNNNNNNNNNNNNNNNNNNNNNNNNNNNNNNNNNNNNNNNNNNNNNNNNNNNNNNNNNNNNNNNNNNNNNNNNNNNNNNNNNNNNNNNNNNNNNNNNNNNNNNNNNNNNNNNNNNNNNNNNNNNNNNNNNNNNNNNNNNNNNNNNNNNNNNNNNNNNNNNNNNNNNNNNNNNNNNNNNNNNNNNNNNNNNNNNNNNNNNNNNNNNNNNNNNNNNNNNNNNNNNNNNNNNNNNNNNNNNNNNNNNNNNNNNNNNNNNNNNNNNNNNNNNNNNNNNNNNNNNNNNNNNNNNNNNNNNNNNNNNNNNNNNNNNNNNNNNNNNNNNNNNNNNNNNNNNNNNNNNNNNNNNNNNNNNNNNNNNNNNNNNNNNNNNNNNNNNNNNNNNNNNNNNNNNNNNNNNNNNNNNNNNNNNNNNNNNNNNNNNNNNNNNNNNNNNNNNNNNNNNNNNNNNNNNNNNNNNNNNNNNNNNNNNNNNNNNNNNNNNNNNNNNNNNNNNNNNNNNNNNNACGGACGGCCCGGUGCGGUAACGAUGCGGCAGAGGUGGAACGUAUACUACCGUGUCAUCGCCGUCCAUGAGGGGGGCCACGCACCGGAGACGCGUCCCGCCUCUUCAGACAUGCCACCACACCACCCCGCAUGUAUGAGGGCCCGGUGCGAUGCUCCGGUGGCAUUGCUACCCCCCAGUGCCCCCGUCCCGCCUAAGCCUGUAGCGUUUGACCACGGGAUCUAACCCUUUGACUUUGCACGGACGGGCUUUGACCAGUGGACCUCCCCACCCGGUUGUGUUAGGUCAGCCCAUAGGAACACUUUGGAGCAACAUCCGGGCCAGACCCACAGCAAGAUCCCCUCCGUGUAGACCCCACGCGUCCGUUUCCCCCCUCCAGGUGCCGGCGGCGGCGCCGUCCGUGAGGGGGGCACACCCCGGACACGCGUGCCGGGUGUUUGCAACCGCCACAACACUUCCAGACUUGUGAGAGGCCGCAUACGAAAGAUUUGGCGGCAUGCUAGCCCCCGGAGGCCGCCGGCCAUAGCCGUAGACGCGCGAAGGGCAAUCCGCGUAGAGGGAAAUUUUCGGAUACUUCUCCAUCACCAAAAAUUAUGAAAAAAUACCAUCGUUACUAUAGCACAUGUGCCCACGUCGUGCAAAAGAACUCAUGAUUUUAUCGCGCUCUGAGUAUUUAGUAAUAUUGACGCUGCAUCGUUACCGCAGAACAUCUACUACCGUGUCAUCGCCGUCCGUGAGGGGGGCCACGCCCCGGAGACGCGUCCUGCCUCUUCGGACAUGCCACCACACCACCCCGCAUGUAUGAGGGCCCGGUGCGAUUCUCCGGUGGCAUUGCUACCCCCCCCCCCCAGUGCCCCCGUCCCACCUAACCCUCUAGCGUUUGACCACGGGAUCUAGCCCUUUGACUUUGCACGGACGGGAUUUGACCAGUGGACCUCCCCACCCGGUUGUGUUAGGUCAGCCCAUAGGAACACUUUGGAGCAACAUCCGGGCCAGACCCACAACAAGAUCCCCUCUGUGUAGACCCCACGCGUCCGUUUCCCCCCUCCAGGUGCCGACAGCAAGGCCGUAGGCAUAGAUGGCAACCACUUUUUUUCAAAAAAAUAGUCCCACCUCGCCCAGGGACAAGCAAUUUGACCUGUUUAAAUAGUUCACUAAUCCAUAUGUUAUAAGUUCCACCCAUAGCCCCACCCAUAGCUACACCCCGACCCAACCCAACACUAGAUUCCCUCCGGUUCCACCGCACCCGCACCAUCCCCCCCUCUAAGUGACAGCUGCUCUGCCUUUCGUGGAGGGGGGGCCACACCACGGAGCCCCAAGACGGGCGUCUACGACCCAACCCAACACUAGAUUCCCUCCGGUUCCACCGCACCCGCACCAUCCCCCCCCUCUAAGUGACAGCUGCUCUGCCUUCCGUGGAAGGGGGCCACACCACGGAGCCCCAAGACGGGCGUCUACGCAUUACAGAACACUUUCACACAUGCAUCGGGACCCGUGCGAUGUUUCGGUGGCAUAGCUACACCCCGAAGGCCACCCCGAAUCCCAGUUGACCAGUAGAUCUAGCCCUUUGACUUUCGUCGGACGGGCUUUGACCGGUGGACUCUUCCACCUGGUUNNNNNNNNNNNNNNNNNNNNNNNNNNNNNNNNNNNNNNNNNNNNNNNNNNNNNNNNNNNNNNNNNNNNNNNNNNNNNNNNNNNNNNNNNNNNNNNNNNNNNNNNNNAGAUCUAGCCCUUUGACUUUCGUCGUACGGACUUUGACCGGUGGACUCUUCCACCUGGUUGCGUUAGGUCAGCCCAUAGCAACAUCCCCGAACACGGUCUGGACCCAACCCAACACUAGAUUCCCUCCGGUUCCACCGCACCCGCACCAUCCCCCCCUCUAACUGACGGCUGCUCUGCCUUCCGUGGAGGGGGGCCACACCACGGAGCCCCAAGACGGGUGUCUACGCAUGCCAGAACACUUUCACACAUGCAUCGCGACCCAUGCGAUGUUUCGGUGGCAUAGCUACACCUCGAAGGCCAUCCCGAAUCCCAGUUGACCAGUAGAUCUAGCCCUUUGACUUUCGACGGACGGGCUUAUAUAACCGUAGGAGGGCCACCGCAACACCUGGCGGCAUUGCUACCCCCAGGUACCCCGUCCCGUCUAACCCUGACACAGACGACCGCGGGGUCUAUCCCUUUGACUUUCGCUGGACGUAGUUUGACCGGUGGACCUUUUCACCUUGUUGUCAUAGCCCAGCCAUAGGUACACCCCCCAACACAGUCCCGGCACAACCCACCCCAAGAUUCCCUCUGCGUCGGCCCGACGUGGCCGUUUCACCCCCCCGGGGCACGGCGGCAUCGACGCCCGUGAGGGGGGAGGGGGCACACCCCGGAGCCGCGUGCAUGCGCCUGCCACCACGUUUCCACAACCGUAGGAGGGCCCACCGCAACACCUGGCGGCAUUGCUACCCCCCACAGGUACCCGGCCCGUCCCGUCUAACCUCUCCGUGACACGACGGAAGAAGGCCCGUGUGGGGGGCAAUCGAUAUAUGUUUUCUAUACAUUUAAGUUAAUGAAAUUAGUAUUGGAAAAAAAUAAAAAAUAAUAAGAGAAAAUACAAAAAAUAUAAGAAUAUUAUUAGAAAUCUAUGCCUAGAAAUGCCACCCCACGGGACCGGCGAACGACGCGGAUCGAUGACGUGGCGGCGCGGCGGAUCGAUGACGUCGGCGUAGCUAUGCCGACGGCCACCGUUAGCCCGUCGGCGUAGCCUGANNNNNNNNNNNNNNNNNNNNNNNNNNNNNNNNNNNNNNNNNNNNNNNNNNNNNNNNNNNNNNNNNNNNNNNNNNNNNNNNNNNNNNNNNNNNNNNNNNNNNNNNNNNNNNNNNNNNNNNNNNNNNNNNNNNNNNNNNNNNNNNNNNNNNNNNNNNNNNNNNNNNNNNNNNNNNNNNNNNNNNNNNNNNNNNNNNNNNNNNNNNNNNNNNNNNNNNNNNNNNNNNNNNNNNNNNNNNNNNNNNNNNNNNNNNNNNNNNNNNNNNNNNNNNNNNNNNNNNNNNNNNNNNNNNNNNNNNNNNNNNNNNNNNNNNNNNNNNNNNNNNNNNNNNNNNNNNNNNNNNNNNNNNNNNNNNNNNNNNNNNNCUACACCCCGAAUCCUAGUUGACGAGUAGAUCUAGCCCUUUGACUUUCGCCGGGCGGGCUUUGACCGGUAGACUCUUCCGCCUGGUUGCGAUAGGUCAGCCCAUAGCAACAUCCCCGAACACGGUUUGGACCCAACCCAACACUAGAUUCCCUCCGGUUCCACCGCACCCGCACCUUACCCCCUCCAAGUGACGGCGGCUCUGCCUUCCGUGGAGGGGGCCACACCAUGGAGCCCCAAGACGGGCGUCUACGCAUGCCAGAACACUUGCACACAUGCAUCGGGACCCAUGCGCUGUUUCGGUAGCAUAGCUACACCCCGAAGGCCACCCCGAAUCCCCCCUCUAACCAGAUUCCCUCCAUGUCGAUCGUUUCCCCCCUCCGUGACACGGCGGCAGUGACGUCCGUGAGGGGGGCAAUCGAUAUACCAUCGGGGCAUGUUUUUUGUUUAGAUAAGGCACAUUUAUGUUGUGAAAAAAUACAAAAUAAUAAAUAUAUAAACUAAAAAUAAAAAAAAUAAAGGUAUGCCAACGGCCACACGGAGCUACGAUCCCACGGAUCGAUGACAUGGCAUUGCACGCGGAUUGAUGACGUGGCAGAUAGCAUGGGCUAGGACUAUGCCGACGGCUAUGCCGUCGGCAUAUCUCUGCCACACCACAGGCCCUCACUCCCUCGGAUCGAUGACGUGUCAACGGCGCGGAUCGGUGAUGUUAGCAAUUCUAUGCCGAUGGCCUAGCCGUCGGCAUAGUUAUGCCGACGGCCGCCGUUAUCCCCCGUCGGCGUAGUUUUGACGCCGUCAAACGGUCGCCGCUAAUUGGGUAGGUGGGCCCUUUCUAUGCCGACGGCCUCUUCUAUGCCGACGGUCCCCGUAGGCGUACUGCGAGCUGUCCCGACGGCCGUAAUAUGCCGACGGCCCCCGUCGGCAUAGAUACACAUAUGCCGACGACUAUUCUACGCCUACGGCCUGCCCUUGGCCGUCGGCAUAUGUCCAUUUAUGCCGAUGGGCGCCGUCGGCAUAGAUGAGGCAGUCGGCAACUAGAUAAUUUCUUGUAGUGAAUUCGAUCUCGCCAAGUCCUGCGGAACAUGCCAUCGCCGCUUUAGAUCGAUCUGCUGCACGCCAACACGUGUCGUCUGCCGCCAGCUUCUCGACGAGAUGUUUGCCUACGCGCCUGUCGCCGCUUGCACGCCCUCUGCUGCACGCACCGCUGCUUUCCGAUUGCUUCUUAACAGAACUCCUGCCGUCCAUCGAUCUUUUCCGGUCGCAGGUCUCGACCAGACCAAUUCGACGAAUUCCGCUCCAAUCUCUAGAUCAACAACCAUGGUCUCAAAUCGAACCUUGCUCGUGAUAUCACUUGUUAGACUAAAUCCGAGACGUACCGUCAUCAUCCGAGGACCAAGCAAUCACAUGAGCACGACACCGAGAUUUGUUAAUGAGGUUCACCGAUAUGGCUACAUCUUCGGAGCCUGACUAUGGGCGCUCCUCCCCAUGACACCGCUACAAUACCGCACCUGGUCGCCCUGGACAACGGCACAUGCCACCGGCUUCCCCUGCGUUCUGGUGCUAUUAUGUUGGCAUAGGUUACAUCAUGUGUCUAGCCCCGCUAUAUAUGAGAGGCCUAGGAUACAAGUGUCCUACUUGGACACGACUACAUAUCCUAUCUAAACACAAUACAACUCAGAGUUCAACUGUAACCUAACUUGUACACUAUAUUCGACACAACUCCAACAGUUCAUUGUCAAUAAAAACAGUGAGAGAAGGGCAACAUUGGCAUUUCAUAAAGUUGGUAUAUAUAUAUAUAUAUGGAUCAUGUCAAUUAUAACUCCAGUCGAUCAGGCAAAACAUUCGGAUGAGAUGUAGGCAUCAGUCCACUUGCUUUUUAUCUAUAGUGAUAUUAUAAUCAAAUUCUCUGUAUUUAACAGCAAGCUGCUAGGGUGUUGAACUUACUUGACCCGCAUUGUCACAUUUGUUGAGAAGCUGUUGCUACAGUCCUACGAACAGUUUUAAAUUUGAAUUAUAUUUUUGCCGGGUACACGACACUACAAGACCAUAUACAACAUAUGACAUCAGUUUUUAAUUUUCUGUUCAUUGCAACGAAGGCAAUACCCAAAAUCUAAGACACAAAAAGUGGAAUUUAAGAACAUGGUCUGAAAGGAACAGCAAAACUCAAGCGUACAUCAUACCGCAUCUCACACAAAUUCAGGUUUUCCUUACAAUAAAGGUUCAGGUUUUUACACAUUGCACAAGAUGUAAUGGCCAAAUAGACAGAUAAAAAAAGAAUUUAUGGAAACAAGUUUUUGCACUGGUGUACACUUGUAUGCAGUGCUUCCUUUAUCCGUAACAUAAUCAACUUCAGAUAUAGGUUUCAUGACAUAGGCAUCCAGUAGAAUUUGCCACACGGGGGAUUCGUUGUUUCGAGCAAAACCAAGUCUCAAGCCUGGAAGCUUGCACGCUCUUGCAUUCUACCUUGCGUACAAACACAAAAUCGUUCGAAUUAGAAUUUCCACAAAUCAAGUGAAAAGAUAAAUGGAAAAAUGUAUUUACUUUGCUGAUGCUAAGACAUUAAUUACCGAUGCAAGACAGUAGUAAACACAAACAAAGAAACACUUUUGAUGGGCAUACAAGCAUGUGCCCAUGUUAUUGACAAGUCUCUAAAUGCAACGUUUCUACAUGUAAUCAAAGGUGAAGUGAUAUCAUCAGUACUCCAUUUAUAGAGGCAAUCCGUGAGAAACAUAAUUGACAGCUUGUCAGCACUUUUGAAAUUACAAGAUGGCUAUAACAUGAUAAAAGCGAGGCCAAAAGCACGCACAAAUGUUUUUUUUCUCCUUGGCCCGCUAGGAGGAAAAUGUUGGAUCGAAGUAGGGAAUAAAUCUCCCUGAGCUAUUCCGAUUCCACCAAUCUUCGCUGCAAUCUAUCUUGAUCAUACUCUGCUUGUACUUUUGAUUUUGGAUAUCCUUCAUUUCAUCGCACCGAGUUACACAAAUAUAAGACAACUCUUCAAAUUCACAUGCUUGCUUGCAUAUCACGGAUAGCUUUGGCAGCUCUUCCAAUUUAAGCUUUAUCAGCCGAGGAAAACUUUUUGACGUCGUUUGCUUCAUGUUGACACCUUGUGGCGAUUCUCCAGUUUCAAUCAAUAUUUCCAUUUCCUUGCAGUGUGCAACUGUGAGCUGCUCAAGGUGUUCAAGGUGAUGAACCCAUGUCACAUCUUUUAAUUUAUCACAUUUAUAGAUACUAACCACUCUGAUGUCCAUCCCUGCAUUUUUCCACGUCACUUUCUCUAGCCCUAGAAGAUUGUUCAGUUCAAAGAUUUCCAUGUAAGGGAGUAGCCAUUGAUCAUAAUUAGGGCCACCUUCAGCUACCAAUAACUUCUGACUGUGAGAGCUCUCUACAAUGGCUAAUUCUCGCAGCUCUUGUAGUUUGGAUAAAAUUUGCAAGUUAAUAAUAUCCGGAUAUUUCUCAUCUUCAAAAUGGUCCAUGCAGAGUGCCUGUGUGCACACCCUUUUCAAUUGUCCCAGUUGUGUUAUCUCUGCUAUUGUUUGUACAGUAUAGCCGAGCAUGUCCAGAUCUAUGGUGGAGCUCGCAAAUUCUUGCAGGACGUUAGGGAAACUAGCACCAGUAUGGAAAAGGUCCAGCCCUCGAAGACUUUUGAGUCCCAAGAUAAGCUCUUCUGGUAUUGUUUGAAGAACCAUGUUAUUUCUGAUGUACAAGCAUUUGAGUUUUGAAAGCUUUCUCAGUACUAGAGGCAAGAGAACAAUUGCUGUUGCAGAAAGAUUGAGAUGUUGCAGUUCGGUUAAUGAGCAUACCUCAAAAGGCAAUCCGAUUAUUUCCGUCCCCUCCAAGUUUAAAAAGGUUAUAUUUUGGAAGUAAUGAAUGAGUUUAAGCGAGAAGACAUGUUGAGCCACCAACACCUUGAGUUCUGGGAAACAAACGUUGGAAGACCAUUGACACCAUCUUGAUGUGUCUUCCUCUGAUACCCAAGCCUUCUCCACAGUGUGCCACAUCUCUUUGGCCAAGGGUGCUCUAUAUGGGGAAUUUUGUAACCACUUGGUCUUGUAUCCAUGUUCAUUCGCAAUCCAGAUAGCCAUCAGUCGCAUCAUGGUGUGCAUCUUCACAUGUGAAUUUUCUGUGGAGUCAAUGCUAGUGUCACCUUUUUCCAACAUGGAUGCACGCACUAAGUCAUUAAUGAGGGUAUAGCCCACAUCACUGGGAUCAGGACCAUUUAACAAACCAAGUCCUAUCCACCACCUUAUAAGUAUCUUCGUUGGUAUGUUCUUAUUUUCAGGCCAUAAAGAACAUAACAAAAAACGCUUCUUCAUAACAGCUGUCAGAUUAUUAUAACUUUCUUGUAGAUGUUUGAAUAAAUCUUCAUGGGUAUCAGUGAUUUCAUGGAGUUUUGAAUUCCUCAGCAGAUCUCUGGCGGUUCUCCAUUCCCUGUGAUCUUUCUUGGGCGACAUAAAUUUACCGAGUGUGCAUAAAGCCAUUGGUAAGCCGUUGCACUCCUCAACUAUCUGUCGAAUAUUUAGUUACAUAAGUAAGAUAUGGUUGUACGAAGUGGAUGUGGUAAACCACGGCAAAAGAAAAGUAUACUUAUGCAAUUAGAAGGAAAGAAAAUUGAACUACAAUCAUAGGCAGAAAUGUUGCUAUCAACAGUAUCUGCAGACACCACUAUCGUGCGGCACAAAAAAGGCCUACUUUAUACGUAUAUAAUAUUUUAAGUUACACCCACUGUUUAAAUAUAUUAAUUUUUAUAAUUUAAUUAGCUUUUAAGAAUUAUAAUAUGUUUAUAUCCUUGGAAAUCUUUCUAUUUUUACAAAUAAUUAUAAUUUUGGCAGCUUUCACAUUCUAACUUUGGCAGCCUCAACUAAAAAAACUUUGUUGGCCUCUCUUAUCAUCUUUUGUUGUCAUAAAUGAUUAAAAUUCUAGAAGAUCAUUAAUGCAUAUGUAGACAAUGUAUAUUCCACUGAUAAUUUAAAUCUUCUACAACCUAAAUUAAUGAUUCACUAUCAUUAACAAACUAGUAUUGUAUAAAAAAGCUUCACUAAUUAAAUUCAUCAAUAUCACUGCCUUGGGCUGGAGUUAAUGCGGAACUAACCUCUUUCGCAAGAUUAUGAAUUUUCUUAUCAUCAAAGAUUUCACUUCCCACCUUCUGAGCAAAGAGAUUCCAUGCGUCUUGUUUACUCAAGCACUUCAUUUGGAUGGUAUCCUCAGGGCAGCAGCAUCCCAUCUUGCUACACACGCACAUGCUUCUAGUUGUGAACACAACUUUACGCCGGUGUGGCUGUACUACAUCAAGCGAGGGGAUGCCUAGUUCGUCCAGAUUAAGAUCCUCCCAUAGAUCAUCCACCAACAAUAAGAAGCUCUUAUCCCUGAGGUGGUUAUGAAUGAUAUUUGCUUGGGAAAUUUGGUUGCCUAUCUGAGGUAAUGCUAUACUAAUGGCGAUAGCCUUUUGCAAAUCAGCAAUUGUAGAGCAUCCCUUGCCAGCUUGAACAAACAGUACUUCGGCGAAAUCAUCAUGAUACUUCGAACGAGAAUCACUUACCAGAUUGAUAAGGGUUGUCUUGCCCACGCCUCCCAUGCCCCAAACCCUAAGCAAUGCAGACUCUGCAUUAUUGUCCUUAAUGAAAUCGAGCACCUUCUUAUACGAGCCCUCCAUCCCCGGCAAUGGAGCUCGCAGCUCUUGUGGCUGGACAUGGCGGACAGGACGUGGGCUUGCCUUUACCUCUGACAUUAAUUUGUCGCCUUGGCUGAUGAGUUCAUUGGCUUUGUUGAGCUCCCUAUAGGCUUCCCUACCGAUGUAGCACCUCUUAAAAUAAGAUAGGCUGUACUUGUGAAGCCUAAUCUUGAUCUCUCCCUCUUUGUUUUGCAAAUCAUCCACGCUCUGGAGCCAUCUGAUGCGCUCUGCAGAAGAUGGGAAGGGAUCCUGGCAGCGGAGGUUGAUUUGCAUCACGCCCAGCAUCUCCACCUUUCUUCAAAGAUCCUCCACAUGGCGGUGAACGCCGAAGGAGUAUCCAAGAUAAACUGCUAUGGGAUCCCACCACUUGAUAGCCACGAGAACCGAAGCACAGAUAGCAGCAAUGCUGAUCCAUGUUUUUGGGUCAAGCUCCAUCUUCUUCACACUUACUCCUUACUCUCCUCUAAAUUCUGUUCAUCAAAUUUAAAUAUAAGGUCCUGCAAACAGUAGACUAUGGCGCAGCUGGUUAUUAGCACUUAAAGGAGAGUUUAUGCAUCUAUUUCUACUUCCAAUUGUUACAUUCUCCUUGUCAGUAGCGACUUGGAACCACUGUAUUAGAAAAAGCACAGCUUUUGGGGUUUAGCCCGGUGGUUAGGUUGUGGCGGACAAACCGAGGCUUUCGCGGCAAAAUUAAUUAUUCCUCGGAAAAUGUAUGUUACAUCUUCUGUAGCAAUAGGUAGACAAAAAAUUAUUUGUCAGCAUCUCAAAUAAAUAUAGAAUAAUUACAAACACAAAAUACAAUUCAACUUGACAGCUUCUUCAUGGCUGAGGCUAAGCUACUUAAUGGCCCAACAUAUAUUUGGGCGGCACAUUCGCUUUGUCGACCGAGUUGGCCUCAGACGUAGUUUUAAAAAUUCGGUUUCAGAAAUAUUUUGGCCAUAUUCAGCGAUUUCGGUUUAUUACAGAUGGAUUACAGUCUGUUCCCAGUCGAAUCUGGCCUAACCCAACAAUGCCUCCUACAGACGUUAUUUAGGGCCUUGUCUCCCUCUUUUAUUUAGAUUACCGGCCGGUUAUAGGUCAGUGUCAUGGCAGGCUUUUUGUUCUUUCUUGAUAGCUUUUUUUUUCAUUUUACAGCAUGGCUGGCUUCAUUAAUCUACAGCCUGGUUUAAUGCUGUCGUCCGGCCACCCAAAUGCAAAGGGCGCGAGAGCCUGGUCAUACAUUGUACAGAACAGAUCAUGCAGCAGGAGCAGUUGGUAACAUUCAAGUAAACCAGCCAUAAUACAAAAGCCACCAAGCAUAUCACUUUUCUCUUGUGAGAAAAUAAGCAAGUCACAUAGACAUUAGAGUUUCAAGAACUUGGAUGGGUACAUAGAUCUCAUCUUCA
rnacentral:lncRNA from 1 species